rnacentral:lncRNA from 1 species
AUACCUGUAGCAUAUAGUAAUAGUAAGCAGUAAUAGCAAUGGCCUCCUCCAUGAUCUCAUCGGCAACCAUUGCCACCGUGAACCGCUCCUCCCCGGCACAGGCCAACAUGGUGGCCCCCUUCACCGGCCUCAAAUCUGCCUCUGCUUUCCCAGUCACCAGGAAGGCCAACAACGACAUCACUUCUCUUGCAAGCAACGGUGGGAGAGUGCAAUGCAUGCAGGUACUUGGUGAUGCAUAAAUACCACUUAAAUUACCCCAAGUGUUUGAACACAACAAAUUACAUAAAUUGAAUCAAAUAUAUAUCUUGGCUUUUGAGUACAGGUGUGGCCGCCUCUUGGGAAGAAGAAGUUCGAGACUCUCUCAUACCUGCCCGAUCUUACUCCCGUACAGUUGGCUAAGGAAGUAGAUUACCUUCUUCGCUCUAAAUGGAUUCCUUGCUUGGAAUUCGAAUUAGAGGUGUUUUGGAGCUCUAAAUUAUUCCAUUCCUCCUCUUAAUUUUUUUAGUGGGAUAUUUGAGUUGAUUAAGUGUGUUUUAUAUGUAUGUGCAGGAGGGAUUCGUGCACCGUAAGUACUCGAGCUUACCCACGUACUACGAUGGACGCUACUGGACCAUGUGGAAACUGCCCAUGUUCGGGUGCACCGACUCGGCUCAGGUGUUGAAGGAGCUUGAGGAAUGCAAGAAGGAAUACCCCAAUGCAUUCAUUAGAAUCAUUGGGUUCGACAACGUUCGUCAAGUGCAGUGCAUUAGUUUCAUUGCCUACAAGCCUGAAGGCUACUAAGUUGUUUACUUCCCUCCUAGGAAUUCCAUUUGUUUCAAAGUUGUACUUAAAUUAAGCCCCUCAAGCCCCCCCCCCCUUUUUCUUUUUCUUUUUUAGUUGAGUUAUUUGGCUUGGGGUCUCUCUUUGUUUUGUUUUUGGAUUUCCAAUGGAACGGCUGAGAACUAAUGAAUAAAAAGGUAGUUUCUUGCCAUAUUUCAUGAAUCCAGUUCUUCCUCCAUUUUCAGUGCUAAGAUAUUCAUGUUAAGAUAGGAUAAAAAUUAAAAGAAAAAAAGGUGAUUGGGUGGUCUGGCUUUAAAAUAAGAGGAUAAAGAUUUUGUGGACAAGCAACGCUGUGCUGUUGGAGGCUCAUUAUCUUAGUACAUAGGAAUACACCAAAGAAACCAUUUUUAUUAAAUUGUUUUAUUAUGACAUCACAAGUUUCUAUUAUUAAAAUAACAACUUAAAAAGGCUAAAUUCAAAUAUAUAUAUAUAUAUUCUGCAUUCAAUCUAUUUCCUCGUUAAAUAUUAAAAUCACUAUUGGUAUAGUGAUAAAUGAUUUGCAUUACAUAAGUUUUAGUUGACAUCUUCGAGCUUAAUUUAAAAAUAAUAAUAAUAAAUUUAAUACAUAAUAUAUUUUUAUUUUAUCAUUUUCACCCUAAAUUUUUUUUAAAGUCAAAUAAUAGUUUGUUUUGAAUAGAAAAAUUGAAGAAACUAUUAAAUUUUUAAUAACACCAUGUGACAAUUUAUAUGACAGUUUACAUAUAUUUCAUUAUUUAUGUAGAUAAUUUUUUAAAAGAAAUUACAAUUUUUUUAAAAAUAUUAUUUUUAAUUUUAUAAAUUACAUCAUGCAAACUAUUGCAUCAAUGCCAUUUAAAUUUAAAAGAUGUAGUCACUUUUUCCAUCUAAAAAAAGCAAUUUAACUAAUUUUCAAGGUUGACGGUAAAAUAUCCAAAAAAAAUAAAAUAAAACUAAAAUACUAAAAAAGUAUUGAAUUUAUUAUUAUUUUAAAAAUAAUGAUUAUGAUUUUCUUUAUUAGUUUUUAACCCAACAUGGAAAAGGAAAACCAUAAUAAUGCUUAUUAAUUAUAAUAUUGAAUAAUACUAGUAGCUCUAUGUUCUUAAACUCAAUUUCAUUACAAAAAUUGUAACUCAAAGGGUUAGGAUUUUUUGUUUUCUAAUUUGUGAUUAAUUAGUGGACUAUAAUUUCCAUUCUCUUUUUUAUAUAAAAAAAACCCUAAUAUUAAGGAUAGCUACAUUUGUGGAGGAACCAAAAGAUAGAGAAAUUCAGAUAAGAAUUGUCUCCCUCUCCCUCUCAGUCGAAGUGCGUCAAUAAUUGGAAUAGAGCUCUAAAAAUGCAAUUCUAGAAAAAAAAAUUUGCCUAUCAGAUAUUAGUUUAAAUAUUGGUUAAAUUGCAAUUCGAAUAAGUAAUUAGGAGUAGAAAAUAUAAAAAAUGACACUAACGUAAUUCAAAAAAUUUCACCAUGUAUAAGGUUUUGCUCAAAAAUUGACAUUAAAAAUUUGUUCGCACGGUUCAAAAAAAAUUUCCAUUUAUAAGGUCUUACUUAAACAUUAAAAUAUAAUUUAAAUUAAACUCACUCUCAUUAAAUUUUUUUUAAAAAAAAGCUUAGUUAUAAACUAAUCGAUAAAAAUAUAUUACUUACAAAGAAUUUACACUCAGAUAGAUUUCUAAUAUAAACAGAAUAAAUACUCUCUCAACUCCUCUAAAAAAAUCGAAAAUACAUUUAAAUAGGCAUUAUGGUAAUUUUUAAAAUGGUAAUGUGAUCAAAAUGAAUAUGGGAAAUCUCAUUUCAAUUAAAUAACUUAUUAUAAAAUAUAAUAAAAGAGAUUUUCUUAAAUCAAUCUCUUUUAAAUGAGGUAGGCAUAUUACAUAAAGAUUCUUUGAAAUUUUUCACUUCAUUCAAUUUUUUUCAAUAUUGUAAUUUACUUAAAAAUAUAUAAAUAUAUACAUGUUAAGUAAAUUAUAAUAUUUUGUCGACUUUUGGCCUUUCCUUAAGUCGCAACUAACAUUAUAACUGAUGUUAACAAAAUUCAUAAUUGUUUCUCUACCAUGUGUAGCCUAAAAAUGUUAAGAUUAGAGAAGCAAUACGUAAAAGAUAAAGAAAAGAACCAUAAAAGUCAUUGUUUUUUUUUUUAAUUUUAAGAUAUGUUUUAAAAAAAAAAAGAAAUUAAAGUAUUUAUUCUGUUAAAUUGGAUAGUAAUUAUCUAAAAUUUUAAAAUACACACUAAAACAUUCUCAAUCAUUAAAAUUUUUUAUUUAUAUCUUACGGCCUGUUUAGUAUUACUUCUCAGAAGUAUUUUUUAAGAUAAAAUGUAUUUUUGAGAUAAAAUAUAUUUUAAAAAAGUACUUUCUUUACCAAAAGUAAGAGGAAAUUUAAACUUUAACUCAAAAAUACUUUUUAACCCAAAGCGCUUUUAAAAAAUAUUACUAAAUUAUCUCUUGUAAGUACAAAAAAAAAUAUAUCAAAUUUGAAAAUAUAUAUAUUUCGCAGGUUACUGAAAUAUCUUAAAUAUUUGAGAAAAACCAACCAGAAUAAAUCCAUCCAAUGGAAUACUGAGAAAAAAUAAAAUAAUAGUUGUAAGAAAAUGAGUGGCGUCACAUUUACACUAAUGGUUUCCCAAGUGGUACAUGAGAAGUUUUUAAGGCUCCUAUAAAUUUAUUUUCGGGACCAUAAACGUAGACCUACCAAUAAUUGCAUUUGUUUUCUUUUUAUACUUUUAUAACUCAUAAUAUUGUAUAUUUAUAUAAAUCCCAAUUUUUUCACUCAUAUAAAAUAUAGUGUUAAAUUCGAAUGAAAAAAGAUGUUAAAUUUGUGUUGGGUAAAAAUAUAAGAAUUUUAUGUUAUUUGCAAAAUAUUCCGUGGUAUUUAUGUUAGAACCGUAAAUAAUAUCUAAUAUAAAUUAAAAUUGUAAAUUAGGAUCUGUCAUGUCAAAUUAUUAAGAAUAUAAAUCAAGAAAAAAAUUAGAUGCGGGAGCAUACUUAAAUUUACCGAUUUCUUGAAAUCUACGGAUCUUGGAGUUUUGAUCUUCCAAAUUAGCAUAUAAGUAAUCUAAAGAAUGUGACUCUCUUUUGGCAUAAACAAAAACACCAAAGCAAUUCACGCAUAUACGUGUAUUCAAAAUCAGAUAGAAAAAACUUAUCAUGCAUAUAUAAUGUAAAUCUAAAAUUGUAUUAAUGAUUAAACAGAGAUUUGCAUGAAUACUUGAAAAAUACAUUCAAGCUAAUAAAUCUCAAAAAAUAAAAUCAUAAUAGUUAAUAUAUCCCAUAGUUCAUAUUGUAGACCAUAUCAACAUAAUUUAACUAAAUAUUUGGAACCAUAAAAUGCCAAAACCUAAUGUUGUAGAACCAACCUUAAAACCAAAUUAUUUAAACAUGUACAUAGUUUACAUGAAUUUGCAUCAAACACCUGUCAAAUUGAAUAUAUAACCAUAACAGAUAAAAAAAAUUAACAACGUCAACGAUAUCCAUCAAAACUUAAUGUCACCAAUUAAUCUAUAAAAUGUAUCUUAUUGAAUAAUGGUUAUAAACACCUAUCCACGCAAACUAUAAUCAUGUAUUAAUCCUCAAAAUCAUUGAUAUGCAUAAUAUAUAUACAAUAUAAUAAUAGAAAAAUAAUACUGGCUUGCCUUACAUAUUUUAUGUAAACUCAAAUUUAUAUAUAAAACUUAUUUAUACGCACAAACACUUAAAAAAAUCCAUAACCACCAAAUAUAAAAACAAUCCCAAAUUAUAUAAAGGCCUUCAGCGCAACUACUUAUAAAAAUUUAUAGCCACCAUAAAAAAAACCCAAAUAUUGUAAUUUUAGUCGGGUUCCAUAAGAAACUUAUAUAAAAUAAUUAUAACAGAAACCAAGUAAUCAUUCGUAUAUAUGAAUUGAAUUCAAUCGUGAAUAUAAUUCAUCAUGAAUAAAGACAAAAGAUGAUAAUUCCAUAUACAUUUAACCACAAAUAGAAAAUUUAAAAUAAAUACUGCAGAAAAAAAUAUCUUAACAACAUUUAUUUAUUCGAUUAUCAAGUGAAUUACUAUUCAAAACCAAUUAUAUAACCCAAUUGAAAUUCUUCAAUUGCAAAAAGUUGUAAGUCUGUAACUUUAAUCUAAUAAUAACUUUAACCAAAAUUUAUAAAAUAAGUGUGCGAAAAGGAGAGAAAGAAAUCUCACAAAUCUAUUUUUAUCAAUUGAUUAUAAAUAAAUAAAUAAACCUUCAUCUUUCGAAUAACAUACGCAAAUAUUAAACUAGAUUAUAUUUAUAAAACCCUAAACUUUAUUUAAAGAAUCAAAACCCAAAAAUUUUAUUAAGAAUCUCAAAGAUUUAACAUAGUAUAUAAUUAAAAUAUCAAAUCCAUAAAUUUAAAAAAGAAAAAUGAAUCAAUCCAAAAAUAAUAAAGAAUCAAUUCAUUCCCUAUUAUUCAACAUGACAAGCUCUAAUGCCACUUGUUAGAACCGUAAAUAAUAGCUAAUAUAAAAUUAGAACUAUAAACCAGGAUCUGUCAUGUCAAAUCAUAAGAAUAAAUCAAGAACAAAAUUAGAUGCGGAAGCAUAGCUGAAUUCAUCGAUUUCUUGAAAUCUACGGAACUUGGGGUUUUGGUCUUCCAAAUUAGCACACAAAUAAUCUAGAGAAUAUGGUUCUCCCUUUUCUAAAGAUGGGAUAUUAGAAAUGUUACAUUGUAUGUAAUUUGGAAACCAUAACCAUAAUAUAUAUAUAUAACUUUGGCACAUUAGCCCUAAUUUCUAAUCAACUCAUCAUCAAUUAAAAAUUAAUUACUAGAGUAUCUACACAUAUUUGACCCAUAUUUUUUUUAAUAAUUAAAGCCCAAUAAACCGUAACCAAAUUAAAUCACUUUUAAUUUAAACUAACCUAUUAAAAUAAUAAAUAAUAACAUGUAAUUACCAUUAUUAUUAUAUAUAAUAAUAUAUAAUACUAUUAUUAUUAUAUAUGUAAUGUCCAGAUUUCUAUCUAUUUAUAUAAAUCUCUCCUAAAUUAUGCUUUCACGAACUUGUAAGAGUCAAAACUGUCGAAAGCUACUUAUGGGGUGUGGCUGUAUAAUAGAUCGAUCAAGGUAGUGCUGAGCGAGUUUUUGUUUUUGUUUUUGUUUUUCUUAUAUAUAUACUCUAUACAGUUAGGUUGAUACACACGUGGAAGGAAUAUGUUAGAAAAAUUAAAUACUAAAAUAAGAAAUAAAAUAAUGGUUUAAAACAUGUAAAACAUUUUUCUUAAAACUUUAAAAUAUUUUUAAAUUACAUCAGCACUUCAAGUAAAAUAAUAAAAAUAUUAAUAAAAAUCCAUUUAUAUAAACAUCCAAUAGGUGAUAUAUCCUUUCAUAAGGAUAUAUAUUUUAAUGAAACACCCUUUUAUAAGAUUAUAUUGUUUUAUAAUAUAACUUUACAUAAAAUUAUAAUUUUAUUAGAUAAUUUUAUAUAUAAAAAUUUUAUCUUUACAAUACAAUUAUUUGAUAAAUAAUUAUAAUUUUUUUACAUAAUAAAAUAUUAUUACUACCAAUAUUAUAAACUAUUGCAAAAAGGAUACUCACACUAUAUAUUAGACCUGUCCAUGGGCCGGGCCGGGCCCAGAAAAAUUUUUGGCCCGCCUCUUAGGCCCGGGCCCGGCCCGAAAUAUGGACAUGAAAUUUUGCCCAGACCCGGCCCGAGAAAAAUAUCAUAAGUCCGAGCCCGGCUCGGCCCGGCCUAUUUUUAAUAAACAUUAAAAAAUUAUUUUAAAAAUAAAAAAUAAAAAAAAUUUAAAAGUAUUUUAAAAUUAAAAAAUAAAAAUAAAAAAUAUAUAUUUAUUAUAUUCGGGCCGGGUCGGGCCGGGCCGGGACCAAAAAAGUGAUGCCCGAGACCUUACCCGUUUUUUAAACGGGCCUUAUUUUUUUACUCAAGCCCAUAUUUCGGGCGGGGCAUUGGGUCGGGCCGGGCAUGGACAGGUCUACUAUAUAUGCACACCCUCCGUUCAAAGAGUGUUAUCUAAAUAAAAAUUUACCCAAUUCUUUAAAUCUAAAAAAUUAUAUAAAUCAAUAUCUUUUAACCACUAAACAAAACAUAAAAGUUAACGGUGGACAGUGAAUUGAGUUGAUUAUAUUUAGAACAUCACAUCACAGCCACAUCAGCUUCCAAAAUAAUAUGAAAAAGAGUUAUCCAAAUGUGAAGCUACCAAUGUCCCGACUCUUAGCUGCUUCAACCAUUCCAUUACUAUCUCCCAACCACCCUGCCUUUGCCUCCCCUUUCUUUAUUGAUCUCGUUCGCUCGCUUAAAUUUUAAUCCUACUUUUAAUUUUAUAUUUAUUAUAUUAAAAAUUCCAUUGAAAAAUAUUUCAAUAAUUAAUUGAGUUCUCAAAUAGGAUAAUACUCAAUUGAGUUUUUAAUUAAAUUUAACUACUCAAUCGAAUCCUCAAUCGAAUUUAAGCAAUUAAUUAAAUUCUCAUCUUUUAACAUUGUUAACUUGUCAAUGACUUCAUCACGUGUUAUGCCAGGGUUGUGCCCCGUAACGAAAUUUGGUAAUUUUUAUUAUAUUUAUUUUAAAAAUAAUAAAAAAUUUAAAAAAAUAAAAAAAGGCAUUUAAAAUUUUAGAACAUUAAAAGAAAAAUUAGACUUUAAAAAAAUUAUUAAAAAUUAUAAAAAUAGAAUUCAUUAAAAAGCAUAAUUUUUUUUGAAAUUUUAGAAAAAAAUUUAGAAAAAUAGAAUUUAGAAAAAUUAUAAAAAAAUCAUAAAAAAAUUGUAAAUAUAAUUUUUAAAAAUUAUAAAAAAUGGAAAUAUUAAAAUAUUAAAAAUAAUAGAAAUCAUUUAGAAAAUAAAAUAUAAAAUAUUUAAAAAUUAUAAAAAAAUUUAAAAAAUUAGAUAUUUUAGAAUUUUUUAUGCUUUUUAAUGAUUUUAUAAAAAAAACAUUUUUUAAUAAUUUUUAUAAAUUGUAUAUUUUUAAAAGUUUCAAAAAAUUUAGAUUUUUAAAAAUAUUUUUUUAUGAUUUUUUAUAAAAAAUUAAAUUACCAAAUUUCGCUACGUGGCACAACUCUAUUGUGCCACAUGAGGGAGUUAAUGUUGUGUAGGGGCUUCCACAGAAAGUGUUGAUUUGAAUGAUUAAUUGAGUGCUUAAGUUUGAUUAAGGACUCAAUUGAGUGUUGCUUUUGAUUGAGAACUCAAUUGUUUAUUGAAUUAUUUUCAAGUGACUUUUUUAUAUAAUAAGUAUUGUGGGGUGUGCCUCGCAUUUAUCGGAUAGUUUACAGACACUUACCAAAGUCAGCCAGCAAUGUCACGACGAGAAGCUUCUCGAAGUUGCGAUGACGGACGACAUUAUGAUGAUGUAAAUGAGGACGUUGCGAUGUGACAACGUGUUUCCCACAAACAUCGAAUUUCUUUUCCUAAUUAAACUAUGUUAUCUUUUCCCAGUCGAACUCUAAUUACUCUAGGGAUAUUUUAGUAAUAUUAUGACUUUAAUAUUAGCCUAUUUAAAUGGUUUUUGUAACCCUAUUUUAGAGAGUUAAUAUAGAAUAUCUCUUAUGUGAGAUUUGAUGAAGAGUUUUGGGGAGAGUUUUGGAAAGAGCUUUGUAUUUAGGUUUUUGAGUUUUGCUCUUUUAGGAUUAUUUUCUUUAUCUUGUACUCUCGUAUGUUUACUCAUCUAGUGAAAAGUUGAAGUCUCAUUUGCCCCUGUCCUUUUUAUCCUCUUAACUGAGGGUUUUCCACGUAAAUAUUUGUAUGUUUGAUCUUCUCUAUUUUCUUGUUCGUUGCUUAUAUGGGUCGAUCCUCAACAAACUAGUAUCAGAGCUAGGUUAUGUUUUUGCAAUCGACCCGUUCAAGUAUAAUGACAACGAUUUUGAUAUUGAAAAGUUCAAUGAAAUCAUAGAUUUCAUAUUGUAACAGUUUCGGAUAAAGUAAAGUGUUUAAAGCAAGGUUGGUUGCAAAGGGUGACAAUCAAGUGGAGGGAGUUGAUUUCCUCAAUGCUUUCUCUAUUGUUGUGAAGCACACAUCCGUUCAGGUAUCAUUGGCAUUGGUUGCAUUAUACAACCUUGAUUUGAAGACUAGGAGUCUUUCGGUUUCCAAGUUCGAGAACGGUUUGGGCUUGGUUGACAUUCUGCAAAGAUCAAGUUCUGCUUGUGGCGGGACCUGGAGAAUAAGGUACGGUAAAUACGAGUCAAGGUGAAGAUUUGUAGGGUGUGUCUCGUAUUUAUUGGAUAAUUUGUAGGCACUUACCAAAGUCAGCUGACGACGUCACGAUGAGAAGCUUCCAAACGUUGUGACGAUGAACGACUUCAUGACGACGCAAAUGAUGAUGUUGUGACAUGGCGACAUGUUUCCCACAAACACCGAGUUUCUUCUCUUAAUUAAACUCUGUUAUCUUUUCCUAGUCAAAAUUUAAUUACUUCUGGGAUAUUUUAGUCGUUUCAACCUUUUAAACUUAGUCUAUUUAAAGGGGUCAUUGUAUCCCUAUUUUAGAAAGGCAAUUAAAGAUGUAGUACUAUAGAACUUUUCUUUUGGGGACGACAAUAUGAGUUGCAAAUGAGUUUUAGUGAGAGUUUUCGUAGUAACUAUGGAGAGAAUUUAGUUCCCAAGUUAAGACUUUGUUUUCAAGGUUUGGGUCUGUACAUUUAAUACAUUUAGGUUUAUUUUCUUCAUCUUAUACCCUCGUUUGUUUACUCAUCUAGUAAAAAGUCGAAGCCUCCUUUGCCCGUGAUUUUUAUCCUCUUAAAUGAGGGUUUUCCACGUAAAUAUUUAUGUGUUCGAUCUUCUAUAACUUUUCUAUUUCGAUAUUUAUACAAGUCAAUCUCUAACAAAUAUUAAUUCUAGGAAUUUAAUAAUUGAAAAUCAAUUAAAAAUAUCAUUAAAAGAAUGUGAGAUAUAUAACAUUUUAAAAAUACUCAUGUAUCUAAUAUUGCAAACAUAAAUAAGCAAAAAAACAUUAAAUGUGGAGUUAUAAGGUUUCGAUUCUAAAUUAAAGAUGAUAAGUUUCUUCAGACUCUUUCAACGAAAGAGAUUAAAAGUUUAUUAUUUAUUUAUUUAUUUAUUUUGCUUACAUGAUUUCUACGCUUCUUUCAACCAGCCAAAUGAACCAUUUUCAUUUUAAAAAUGGCAUGUUAUCUAAUUUAAUGAAAUUCCUUAACCGCCUUAUUAACUGAAUUUUAAUUAUUAAAUUUUAAAAAAUAGAAUGAGUAAUUUAAAAAAAAAAAGCACUAAAUUUCAAAAGUAUAAUUAAACUAAAAAGUGACAAAAAAUCAUGUUCAAUCAUAGCUGCUGCUAUAAGGGAUUCGGAAGGUUUUGCAAUGGGUUCUUGUGUAGCUGCUAAGGUCAAAACCAGUCAUGAAGCAAAUGGGAAUUGCUCUCCCAGUGGGAAUUACAGAGGGGAUGUGCAUGCAAUGACCAUCAUCAGGAACCAUGUCGGUUGCUAUCAUAUGAUAAAACAUAAAUAUGAUGCUCAAUACGUCAUAGGAAGAAAAUUUGACAAUUAUUGAAUCAUAAAUUACAGAACAAAAUUCAAUUACCAAUAGGAUCUAUACACAAUUUCCCUUGCUCUUCUCCAUGGUGAUUUACAAAAUCAAAAUAUCAAAUCAUUUAUAUUACGAUUCAUCAUCAUUUGCUCAAUCCCCUGAAAAUUCAAUCCUUUCACAUUGCCUUCCCUUCCAUCCCAGCAAUCAAAUAGAUUUUACCAGACCAAAAACCACAUCAUAUAUACACUAGUACACACAAGUUAAUCUCUUUCUCCCCAAAAAUAAUCCAUAUUUCCCUAAUUCAUCCCUACUUUGUCCUCCCGGACGGUGGCCUUCUAUGUACACUGUAGAUCUAAGCCAUAGCAGGGAUUCUGGAAUUUUGGCUAUCCCUGUUAAGGCAAUCAAAUCCUUCUACUCUAAUUGCCGCUGGUUUUAGCCCAAACGACAUCCUAACACAUCCCCCUUUAUGUGCCGAUGGCGACGGAGAUGGACUUUGCGAUGCUGAAAGGGCUGCAACUCUUUCGUCACCAAAUCGAGCAUCUUGCACAACUGGGUUCGUGGCCCUACUUGGGGGCGAACCACAAAAAAAUGGGGGUGAAGAUGCUACCUGUGCUGCAGAUUGCUCUGCCCAUAAAUCACCCUACAAAAACCGAAACAAAACAACACGAUAAAACAAGUCCAUCCUAGAAACAAAAACAUUAACACACAUAACUCAAACCUCAGAAAUGCAAACAUCCUAUAUUACUCCAAAUUGGAAGUAAAAAUAUAUCCGACUUUUAGAAGCAUUUUCAUAUAGUCGUUUAUUCGGAUAGAAGUGCAAGACGCAAAUACUUUUAAGAACCAUAGCAACUAUCAAAAAGCAAUAUGUAUAUAACAUUAGUAUUUUCACUUCUUUAAAAUACUUAAGAUUCAGUGAUUACCUUGUUGAGGAUGAUAUCUAGAAGUUCUGCACUGGCUUUCGAUUCACUUACAUCGGCUUGGUGACUGGAAUUGAAACCCAAAAAUCAAAAUUAAUAAAAGCAAGCAAAUCAAAUCAACCAAAAUUCCAAUUAGAGAAAAGGGGGAAAAACCCAAAGGACAGAGAAAAGAAAAAUAAUACCUCAUAUGCAAUCUAAAAGGCUUGAUAGGGUUAUUGGUGAGAACCCCAAUUCGCCGAGGCUUAGGGCAAACAACGGGGCCGGCCCUAUGAUGCUCCGAUAUUGAAGAGAUAAACCCUCCCAUCUCCUCAUAAGCGGAAACGGCAAUGGGAUUCUGCUGAAGAUUGUAGUGAUUCAUCUUCCUCAAAAAUCUAACAUUCAAAUAAUUAAUUACAAAAAAGAAGUCAACAACCAGAUCUAAGAAAAAUGAUUCAAUUAAGACAUAGAAACAGACAAUUUAUAUUUUUUUCCCCCUUUAGUUUCCUUCAUUUUCACAGAAUCCCAAAAAAAAAAAAGGUCAAACCCAAAAAGGAAAACAUAAAUAGAAACACAGAUCUAGGCCCAGACCUUAAAAUCAGUGAUCACGGGUUGCUGUGGAGGUAAAACUGUAAUAAAUUUAGGAUUUAUAUGUCUGCGUAAAAAAUAUUAUAAUUUACAUUUAUAUAUAUCAGAUUCAGAGAGUUAAAAAGAAGAUCCGAAAUAUCAGGGAUUAAUUAAGACGUAACAAAUAAGAAUGAAAUACCCAGAAGGGAAAUUCAAGUGUUACAGCUAAAAACUCAUCAUAAAUAUUGAAUAGACACUUUGAAAUUUGACUUAAAAACAGAAUUGUUCUUUAACAGCAAAAAAAUAGGAAGAAAAAGAAAAAGAAAAAGAAACAGAUCUAAAAAUAUAUUUUACAAAAUAUAUACAGAGAAGUGAAAUCUUAUAUAUGAUUAAAUAAGUUUAAAAAAGGGAAACUUGAUUUUUGAGAUUUACCUGAAGGAAUCCCUUUGAAAGAAGAAAAAGCAGAAAAAUGGUGGAUGAGACGAGGAAGGAAAAGGUCUUAAUGGAGGCCAGGAGGGAAAUUAUAUACAAUGCCCAUUUUACCAUUGUAAAACAAUCUCCUCCACUUUUUUUUAAAUAUAAUUUCUUUUUGAAUCUUGGGAAAAUUAUUUUAACUUCGGUCAAUUAAAAUAUUAAUUAUCAAUAAAUGCCAAAAAAAAUUACGUGAAUAGAUCAAUUUUUUUAAAAAAAUUAUGGGAAUAAGCUAUUUUUUGGAAAUCACUUCCAAUUUGCAGGGAAACUUGGAAGCGUUUUCAGCAUGUUGCAUUGAAAACGCUUCCAGCUAGAAUCGCUUUCUACUAAGUCACUUGGAAGCAUUUUCAACAUAUUGCAUGGAAAACGCUUUCAGUUAGAAUCACUUUCUGCUAAGUCACUUGAAAAUGCUUCCAGUUGGAAGUGUUUUUCCCCCCAACAGUAAAAAAUAACAGUUAUUUAAUUAGUCGUUAGACACCCCCAAACAGUCAAAUUUUAUUUUCCUAUAACCCUCUCCCAUUUCAUUUUUUCCAAUUCAAUCUCAACUCUCUCUCACAUUCUCAAUACCCACUUAAAUUCACUAAUUUUUUUUGCUCUCUCAAUUUUAUUUUUUAUUUAAAUUAUCUUAACAUUUUCUUAAAUUAUUCUUCUAAUACAAAUUAUUCAGUUUUUUUCGAAAUUAUCAAUGGCAAAUUCUCUAAUUCGUCAUGAUAAGAACUAAACUUUCGUCAAUCAAUUGCAAAUGGUAAUAAUAUUUCUUAUUAUAUUUUAAUGUUGCAUAAUUUUUAUAUAUUUUUUUAUAUUUGAAUUUAUUAUUUUGUAUAUUUUUUCCUUAAAUAGGCAGAGAUUGAAUUUUGCAAGCCAACAUUCGUAAUCUACUCGCUCCUCCAUCACCCUUGAUCAAACCGUACUUGAGAGAAGUCGAUUUUUCGCACGUGGCCCUUAUAGGUAAGGGGUGUAAGUUGGACCCAACACUCGUAAGCGCGUUAAUGGAAAGGUGGAGAUCGAAGACGCACAUUUUCCAUCUUCCAUGUGGCGAGUGUACUAUCACUUUGGAAGAUAUGCAAUUACAACUUAGGUUACUAGUGGAUGGGUUUGCAGUGACUGGGACUGUUCACACAACCAAUUGGAAAAUGGUAUGCGAUGAACUUUUGGGGUUGGUUUCGGAGACAAUUUUUGGAGGUCGGAUAGAAAUGGCUUGGUUAAGAAGAAAUUUCAGUAAGCUUGAUGAGGAUUCAACUGAAGUCGAAAGAGAACAACACGUUCAGGAUUACAUCCUUAUGUUAAUAGAGGGUAUCAUAAUGCCGGAUAAGUCACGAAAUUUCGUCCAUUUAAGGUGGUUGUUGAAACUCGUCAAUAUUCGUAAUCUACUCGCUCCUCCAACUUAGUUGGGGGUCCACCGUGUUGGCGACCUUGUACCAAGAGAUGUGUCGAGCGACGCAACCACGAAAAAUUAAAAUUGGUGGUUGUAUGCUACUAUUGCAGUCAUUGGCGCGUUAUCAGCUGCCAUUUUUGUCCUGAAGCAAACUACCUUUACAAAUUCAUUACAUAAUUUAUUUAUUGCAAUAAAAUAAUCUAAUGUUUAAAUUAUUCUGUUAACAAAUUAUUUCAAUAGGUGGAAUAAUGGGUCAAGUUACGUGAGAAUAUCGAAAGAGCUAUGAUAUAUACGACUUCUGUUAGACCAACGAUCUGAAGCAAAGGUAAGUAUUUUUUUUAAAUUUGAAUUAUAUAAUAUUAAUGUAUUUGAUUUGAUAUUUAAUAGUAUAUAUAUAACUAAUUUUUUUUAUUAUUUUAAUAUAGUUUGAAUGGACACCAUACAAGGAUCUGACAAUUCGACAAUGCAUCCCAUCCGAAAUCCUGGUGAAUCCCAACAUUUGACAUGUAAAUGUGCCAUUGGUAGUGUACGCUAUUGUGUAUAUGCAUGAGUCGGAUAGGGUGUUGCAGCAAAUCGGGUUCAAACAAUCGAUUCUAGUGGUACCUUAGGACCUCGAUCAUCUGCAUCCUAUCAACUUGUGGGGGAGGUCGGAUGAGAAUUGAAUUAGAUUCCACAUUAAUAUAUAAACACAUGUGGAAUAAUCGGUAUGAGUUUCUACCUCAUCGCAAUGCUAUUAUCGCUCUAGAGUUAGCUUGCAGUUUGGAUUACAUGCCUUGAUUUAGGCUUUUUGGCAAGCCAUGCUUGUUGAGCGAAGAAUAUAGGAGUUGGCAAACGCAUACGAGGAGGCCACGACGACCGUCAACACAUCCAAGGUUUGGCGAGGCAGGUCCAUCGGUUGCACCUACUCAAGAGCCGACAUCGGUGCCCACACCACCCCUGAUCAGUAUGUGUAGUCCUAUUCUGAUUCGUAUGCGAACACCGUCAUUUUCACACAAGCACCAUAUAUUCAACCACAUUUUUCUGCUUUUACUUUGAUGUCAGGUUUUGUUUUCAAACCUUGGUCCCUAGUACAUUACACGUCGAUGCCAUCCAUAAUUCUGGCGACGAUGAUGCCGAUGACGACGUAUAGGCCAUCCAUGUUUCGACCACCGACCAAGAGUCCAAUUGUUAUGUCACCAAUGUACGAAACACAAUAUAGUUAUACCCCUACACUGAUGGUGAUGCAAACACCUCCAGGAUCAUUGUUCUAUCAAGGCGAAUCAUCUCCCCAACCACCUACUCCUAGAUCGGAGGAUGCACGAUGGCAACCAAGAAGCAACUAAUCGCAAUCAACUACGGAUGAAGGCGAAGAAGAGAAAAGGCCUAUACCACAACCUGUGUCAGAGGUUUAACCAGAGUUUGGAAAAUCGAUCGCAAUUGGGUUUGGAAAACGCAACGGAAAAUAAAUUUAGGAAAAAACCAGAGUUUUAAAAAAAAUCCAAAAUAAGAAUUUGGUUGUGAUAUCUAAAGUAAUAAACACUCAAUCAAAAUUGUACAAUUUUGAUUCGUCUAGGAUGAACGCUUCAACCUAGUAGUCUUCUCUAUUAUCCUUAAGCUCACGUCUGCCGAGUGUGGGCCCGCUUCGAAUAAAAAAAUUACAAAAAUUACUAGUGCAGUAAUUUCGUAAUUUCUCUAAACUUUUGGGCUAAGUUAUAAAUAAGAAAAAUACUCUAGAAAUUUUCUAAAAUAAUUUCUUUAGAGAAUUUUCUCUCUACAACUUUCUAUUGAAUUCAAGUGUGUGUAAAUAAUAACCCAAGACUAUCUUUAUAUAAGGAGGGUUUAGAGAGUUCAACUAUAAUUAAACUUAAUCACUUUAAUAUUAAUUUUAAUAUUAAAUUUUAAUUAAUAGAAUAUUUAUCUACAAGAUAAAUAUUAAAUUAAAUUUAAUAUUAAGAUAAUCACUUUGAUAUUAAAUUAAUAAAAUAUUAUUAAGAUAAGUAUCAAAUGAAAUUUAAUAUUAAAUCUAUUAAAAUAAUAUUAUUUUUUAAAUAGUUAAUCAAAAAUCAAAUUCUUUGGUAGAGUCUCAAUAGGAGUGUAAUUCUUCCAUUGCUUAACCACCGAAGAACCACUGCCGCUAACCAUUUUUUGGCCAUCGGAAUGCUGUCGUCGUAACCGUCGGCACCUGAGCUGGUUUGGUUUCUAUCGGUUCCGUACGGACCACUAACAGUCCGAUAGGUCCGAUCCAACCACCAGUUGGAUAUCAACUUAGUUUCACAUACCAGACCUGGUUCGACUAGUUUUUGGGUCUUAGUCUCGGUUUUGGGAUCCUAAGCCCAAUUUAUGAUCUCAGGUCUAAUAUUCAAGUUCAAUUACCCAUUGGGCCAAUUGUCUGACUUGAAAAAUUAAUUUUUCAAAAAUAUCAUAUUAAUUUUAAUUAAUUUGAUUGAUUUAAUUUUACUUGUUCAAAAUUAAUUUUCCCAAAAAUCACUUAGAUUUUCCAAAUUAAUUUUUCAAGAAAAUUCUUUAAUCAAAUUCUCUAGUUGAACAAUUCUUACGACCGUCCAACUUAAUUCCACAUCGAAUAAAUCGACUCAGUUAAAUUAUUUCCAAAGUCGUAGAAUUUACUUCUAAUUCAAAUGGAGUCCGAUUAAGCCUUUGUUGAGCUAGCGGAGGCACCAAUCGGACAUAUACAAUUAGGUUCUAGUAAUUGCAAUUAUGUCCAGAAGCAUCGUUCCUAUAAUUCACAAUUAUUUAAUAUGGAGUUAGGCCACAAAAAGUACCAUGAUUGAAAACUACUUAUUAUAUACUCUUUACGAAAGUAAUUCAUCCAACUACUUUGUCCAAUGACCUCGUCAUGUGUGUGUUACCCUCAUAUGAUAUCCUUGAUUCCUCUGAGUUAAAUUCAUUCACUCAAUACAAUCCUAUUUUAUCCCAUUGUUGCCAUCUGUCUUCUUAAUGAUUAACAUGAUCACUAUCAACAAAUGGAUGUGAUAAAUUGCUCAUUCAAGAACAAGCAACCCGUGGCCACAUUCCGUAUUUAUCAAUCCACACAAUGCUAAUGAGAGGAUAUCAUUAAUUCUUUAAUUGAGCUAUGAAUUUCACUGUUUCAAAAAGUAAAACCAUGCCAUACACAAGUCAUGUACCCAACAUAUCGGCUAUUGGUUCGAUCAUCUUUAGAGCAUAAGCCUCUACUUAUAUCAAAGCACAUGAGUUACAUAUGCAUGGUCAUUGACUAACUCAGGAUUUUGAUAAAUCAUAGCAUGAAUGUCACAAGUGAAUUAAUUCAAAAAUGAAUUCAGAAUUAAUUCAUCUUGGGUCUAGUUCAAUGUAUCAUUCUGCCAAUGAAUACAUUUAUGUCUCUACCCGUAGAGUCAACUACUCCGAUAGCCAAGACUAGUCAUCCCCUCAAUUGGAAUUAUAGACAACAUAAUAAUCAUUCUCAGUAUUUGAAUUAAAUAAUCACUUUGAUUCUUUUACGAAAUUACAAACUUGUUUAGAUUAUCUAGUGAAGUAAGUUGUCUUUCUCGUAAUGCAAAUGUUCUUACAAUGCCACUUAUCAUCAUUUUGAACUUAGACAAUCAAUGAGCUAAUUUUUGCUUGUUACAAAUUCGCUAUGCAUGCAAAAUAUGAAAGCCAGAAAUACAAAAUACAUAACAGUGAAAUGUGAAAUUUAUUUAUUCAAAUUCAUAGAAAAUAAUUACAUGUUUACUACAAUAUGUGCACAUUUCCCAACAAUUUCCCACUUGCUCUAGUGAAGUAAAUGUGUCAUAUUUCACAUUCCCAAAUCCUCAACGUGUUUGUUAAAACUCUUAGUUACAAGAGUCUUAGUAAAUAGAUCUAAAAGGUUAUCUUCAUAAGCUACUUUCACCACAUCUAUAAUUCCUUCGACUACUGCCUCUCAUAUCAAGUGAUACUUUUGAUAAAUGUGUUUAUUCCUCUUGUAACUUCUCAUUUCCUUAGUAUUAACUAUUGCAGCAUAGUUAUCACAAUACAGUGUUAUAACUUUUUCCAUACCAUGAAUAACUUCAAGAUCGGUUAAGAACUUUCAAAGCCAUAUUGCUUCUUUGUUGCUUCAGAAGUAGCCACAUACUCGGCCUCCAUAGUAGAGUCAGUAGCACAAGUUUGUAUUACACUUCUCCAUACUAUGGCUCUACGGCCUAAGAUGAAUAUAUUUUUUUAUGUUGAUUUCCUCGCAUCUUUAUAGGUUUGGAAGUCUAAGUUUGUGUAUCUGAUAGGAGUAAAGUUCUCCCUAGAAUAUAUAAACAUAUAGUCUUUGGUUCUUUUAAGAUACCUUAAUAUAUGCUUUCAGCUUGCCAAUGUUUGAAACCAGGAUUCGUCUGAUAUCGAGUAACCAUUCCCACUGCAAAACAAAUAUCUGGAUGUGUGGAAAGCAUCGCACACAUAAGGUUUCCAACUAUCGAAGCAUAUGGAACCCUACUCAUAUGGUCUCUUUCUUCUAUUACCUUAGGACAGUUAUCUAAAGAAAAAUGAAAACCUAAUGAGGUCGGCUGAGUGCCUAACUUCACAUCAAUCAUUGAAAAAUGUUUCAGUACCUUAUAGAUGUAUAAAGCUUGUGAUAGAGUUAUCGUUUUAUUCUUUCAAUCCCUAAGGAUUCGAAUUCGAAGAACAUAACUAGCUUCACCCAUGUCCUUUAUGUUAAUUGUUGAGCUAACCACAGUUUAACUGAUGACAAUUCUCUUACAUUAUUUCAUACAUUAAUAUAAACUUAACAAAAAUUAUUCAUUCACAUACACAUCAUCCCUAAAUUGAUCCUCUGAGGCCAUAAAAUACAUUAAAAAAAUUCGAGACUAAAUUGGAAACAUUUCAAAAGUUCAAGAAAAAGUUAGAAAAAUUUAACUGUAGGGGUUACAUGGCUGUGUGCCUUACACGACUGUGACACACGCCCGUGUCUCAGACCAUGUAAUAAUCAAAAUAGGGACACACUGCUGUGUCUCAGCCUUUGUCCUUACCCGUAUAACUCUCUAAGUAGGGUUACACGGCCAAAUCACACGACCAAAUCACAUGCCUGUGUGCUAUGUUGUGUAACUCUCGAAAUAGCCCCACAAGCCCGUGUGUCAAGCCGUGUGUUAGGCCGAGUAACUUUCUGACUUGAAUGCAAUUGAACCUAAAGGGGACACACAGCCAUGUCGCCAGGCCAUGUGUCAAACACGGUUGAGUCACACGCUCGUGUCUCAAGCCGUAUGGACAUGAAUUUGCCAAAAAAAGCCAUUUCCAUCACCAUAUCAAGCAUAUACCUAAAAACAUCUUGUGCACAUAAUCAAGACAUCAAAACCUUACCAAAACAUGCAUAUAGUAACCAAAAACUUAGUAGAGUCAAAAGGUAUUUUCUUAUCUGACACUAAAGUUGUGCAUAUAUAUGAGUGCAUUGACCCAGGGUCAAUCAAAGCAUCAACAUUAGUAUCAAAAAUAAAAAAUGUACCAGUGAUAACAACUGGCGCUGAAGCUUCCUCUCGAGCACAGAUCGCAUAAGCUUUAGUCGACACUGGUGCCUCAAAUCUCACAGUAGAGCCUUUCGUUCCACUACGACUAUUACCCCCUCUCGAGCACGGAUCGCAUGAGCUUUAGUCGACACUGGUGCCUCAGAUCUCACAGCAGAGUCUUUCGUUCCACUACGACUAUUACCCGCAUUACCAGUGUUUCGGGCUGGUCUCCUUCUCGAAGCUGUAUUACUCAGUCGAGUAGUCUGAGCCUUUUCUUUGUCGGACCUUUCAAGGUAAUCCUUGAGAUAUUUUUAUAUGAACCACAUUUAGAACAUUACUCGUCUUUCAAUCUGCAUUCACCAAAGUGUCGUUUAUUACAUUACUGAUAUUCGGGCUUGUUGUUUCUGAUAUUGCCCACACUUGUUGUAGACGUAGCCUGAGGUUUUGAGCUCGAAUGCUAAUUUCCUUAAUCUUUCUCAGAAUAAUCCACUGAAGCUGAUGAACGACCAUGAUAUUCUUUCAACUUCUUCGAUGGCGAUGGGUAUGACUUUUCCAUAGGGCUCUUUCCCGAGUUAUGAGCCUCCUCGACUUUUCUUUUCGCUUUGCUAAGUUCUUCAGCUUUAUGCACUUUGCCAACUAGAACUACAAAUUCUUUCAUCUCAAGGAUCCCGAAUAACACCUUAAUAUCUUUGUUUAACUUGUCUUCAAACCUUGUGCACAUAGCAAACUCUGUAGGUAUACAUUCUUUGGCAUACUUACUGAGUCGAACAAAUUCCCUCUCAUACUCUAAUACAGUCAUACGACCUUGUUUCAACUCAAGGAAUUCUUUACGUUUCUUGUCUAAAAAUAUCUCGCUCACAUAUUUCUUUCGAAAUUCAGUCUAAAAGAAUUCCCAGUUUACUUGAUCUCUCGGCACAACUGCAACUAAGGUGUUCCACCACUGAUAAGCCGAAUCUUUCAAUAAUGAAACAACACAUUUCAAGUAUUUCGUAGGAGUACAUGAUAAUUCAUCGAAAACUUUCACCGUGCUUUCUAACAAAAAUAGGCUCUCUUUGGAUCAUCUUCAGUUGUUCCUCGAAACUCUUAAGCCCUAUACUUACGAAUUUUAUCAACUAGAGGCUUGCUCACCCGAACUAGUUCCAAACCCUGAGGAACUACGAGGAUCGAUUGGGGUACAGGUGGGGGUGGAGGUCGUUAAGCCAUUGAUUUCAUUCGAAUAAACUCGAAGAAGCAUUCAGACAUCAUCUGGAGGAAAACUUCUUUAGCCUCUCCUCCCCAGCCCUCAGAUUUGAGCCUAUUACCACUAGACGCUGCUCCAUGAACGGAGGUUCGCGUGUUACUUUCUAUUUCAUUGGAAUCAGCUUGAUUGGAUGGCAUUUUAUCUAUAUGAAAACAUAGUUCAAAUAUAGUUAGGAGUUAUCACACUAUUACAGGUUAUAUAAAGGCAUGUAUUUCUAGACUCAUACACGCUACUUUAGUGCGAGAACCGACUAUGCUGUAGCUUUGAUACCAUUAAAUGUAACACCUCUAACCUGUAUCUAUUGCCAAAUUAGGGUUACAGAGCACUACUGUACAAAUGGAACAUUACAACAUACAUUUCAUAUAUUUAUAUAAACUUAACAAAAAUUAUUCAUUCAUUUACACAUCGUCCCUAAAUUGAGCCCUCGAGACCCUAAACAUACAUUAAAACUAAUUUGGGACUAAAUUGGAAGCAUUAGGAAAGUUCAAGAAAAAGUUAGAAAAAAUUGACUGCAGGGGUCACACGUCCAUGUACCUCACACGACUGAGACACACGCCCAUGUCUCAGGCCGUGUAACUCUCAAAAUAGCCCCAAAAACUUGUGCGCCAAGCCGUGUGCUAGGCUGUGUAACUGCCUGACUUGUUUGCAAUGGAACCUAAAUGGGAGACAUGGCCAUGUCGCCACACCACGUGUUACAUACGGUUGAGUCAAACGCCCGUGUCUCAGGCUGUGUGGACAUGAAUUUGCCCCAAAACAGGUAAUUUCCAUCACCAAAUCAAGCAUAUACCUAAAAACAUUUUGUGCACAUAAUCAAGACAUCAAAACCUUACCAAAACAUGCAUAUAGUGACCAUUUCAAUAGCCUUAAACCAAUCAACCAAUAUGCCAUUUCAAGGCACCUCACAAGCAAACACCAAAGCAUACCUAAGCAUUCACAUUUGGUCACAUUUCCACCAUCAAACAUAAUUCAUCUUCCAACAAAUUAUACCACAAUUAUGACCAUUAGCAUUUCAACAUAAACUUACCAUUUGAGGCAUACCAUUCAUGCAUCAUAAGUACCAAAAUGACACAAUCCAACCAACAUCAAAUUGUACCAACACUAUACAUGCCAAAAUAUCAACUAACAUUCAACUAGAUACCAAUACAAGUCCACCUAUACAUGCCAUUAUAGCCUUGGCCAAAACAUCAUAAAUUAUUGAUAUGUAUGCUGGAUAGUGUGAUAGAUCUCCGACGAGCUUCCAAACCGAUAUAGCUUCCGAUUAUCUAUAAAACAAGAGAAAAAAACUACGUAAGCAAAUAAUGCUUAGUAAGUUCGUAAAACAUGAAACAUAAUUUACCAUUUCCUUAUAUAACAUUAAGUACAAGCAUAAUGCAAUGCAACACAAGCUUGGCACAAGCCUAAGCACCAUCAUCAAUACACAAGUUAGUGUAUAUAUACAUAAUUCAAUUGAAUUUAACAUAUGGUAAUUCAUUUCCAUGGAAACAUACACCAUUUGAUUCAUUCUUCGUUUUCAUGAACAUAAGCAUACUUCCAUUUGGAACUUACCAUUUCAAUCCUUUUCAUAAAUACAUGAUAUAGUUCAUUUUGAACACUUAUCGUUCCUUUUCUUUCUAUGCCCGUUGAACCAUUUAGAAUAUCAUCGGAUACACAGGAAAACUCACAUGAAGUGUGCUUAAACAUAUAACCAUAAUCUUUCCUUUACAUUGUUGCUCACACGAGCUAUGAAAUAGGCCUACUCACACGAGCUAUGGGUCGAAAUGUAAGCUACACGAUGCUGCUCACACGAGAUUUGGAGUAUCUACAACAAAUGUAGGACCUCAACCAUCGGUAGGAUAUUCAAGACCAACACCCGAACAUGAGAACCCUAAUGACAUGUCAUUUGUAUCCUACGAAUUCCUAAGGUUCAACCAGGACUCGAUAACCGUCGUAGCAUGAUUUUGGAUAUACAUUGUUCAAUAGCAUUCUUAAUACAUAAUAACAUAUAAUUAAACAACAUGAACAUAACAAUCCGUACAUACGAACUUACCUCGACGACUAAGGCGUAAAAACGGGAUCGACUAAUCCGAGGCUUUAGCUUUUCCCCGAUCUAGAUCUGUUGUGGCCUAUCUUGAUCUAAAUAAAAAAUAUAAUUCAUUUAAUAUCCCUAGCAUUCAAUUUAGUCCAUAUUUCAUAUUUUUCCAAAAUUACUAUUUUACCCCUAAUAUUUUAACUUUUUACAAUUUAGUCCUUAAGCUCAUAAAUUAAAAUCUAAGCAUUUUCAUCCUUUUCUCAAGCUAGACAAUUUAUCCAGGGACCUAUAUCAACUCAUACAAACCAUUAUUUCAUAGAUUUAACUUGAAAUUUUAUCUUUUUUACAAAUAAGUCCCUAAAUAAAAUUUUCAUCAAAAAUCACUUUACAAAACUUGUUUAUUUAUGAACAAGGACUCAUAAUCUACCAUUAAACAUCAAGAAUCAUACAAGAAAAUUCAUGAAAAAACCCUAAAUCUUUAACAGUUUUGCAAAUUGAUCCUUGGGCUAGCUAAGUUAAGCUACAACGAUCCCAAAAACAUAAAAAUCAUUAAAAACAAGCUCAAAAAUCACUUACAUGCAAUAAUUGAACAUAGCCGAACCUUCAAGGUGAAAAAUAGAGGUUUUCCUUCUUUAAUUUCGGUGGAAACAUGAACUAAAGAAGAUGAUACUUUUAUUUUAUGUUAUUUUUCUUUACUUAAUUAUUAUAUUACCUUAAUAACCUUGUUAAUUAACUAAAUAAAACUCCUAAUUCAUGCCCAUCUUUGUCCACUAACAUUAUGAAUGAUCUAAUUACCAUCUAAGUCCACUCACAUUUAAAUUUCAUAGCCAUUUGACCCUUUUUACUAAUAGAACUCAAUUUUUGCACAUUUAUGAUUUAGUCAUUUUCACUUAAUUAAGCAUGCAAACAUCGAAAUUUCGUAACGAAAUUUUUAUAUUACCUUAUUAACAUUCUAUAUACAUUAAAAAUAAUAAUUUACUUGUCAGAUUUGUGGUCACUAAAUUACAAUUUCGAUUUCACUGAAAACAGGUUGUUACAACUCUCCCCCUAAAAGAAUUUUCGUCCCCGAAAAUCUUACCAGAAAAGAGGUUUGGGUAUUGCACUUUCAUAAUUUCUUCCAGUUCCCAGGUACCUUCCUCUAAACCUUGACAUUUCCAGAGAACUUUUACUAAAUCUAUUUAUUUCUCAGUUCUUUAACUUCCCAAGCUAAAAUUCUGAUCGGUUCUUCACUGUACGUCAUAUUUGGCUGUAUCUCAACAUCAACAGGUGAAAUCACGUGUGCAGAAUCUGAUUGAUACCAUCGUAACAUCGAAACAUGGAAUACAUUGUGAAUCUUUUCUAACUUUAACGGCAAAGAUAAUCUAUAAGCUAUUGGUCCAAUUUUUUCUAUGAUCCCAUACGGCCCAAUAAAUCGUGGACAAAGCUUUCCUUUUCGACUGAAUUGAAGAACUUUCUUCCAAGGCGAUACUUUUAGAAAUAAUCUGUCGCUUACUUGAAAUUCAAUGUCUUUUCUUUUCAAAUCUACGUAAGAUUUUUGUCGAUCCGAAAUUGUUUUCAGGCUAUCACAUAUCACUUUAACCUUUUCUUGAGUUUCUCAAAUUAAAUCAAUCUUGAAUAACUUUUUCUCACUCAGAUCAGUCCAGUAUAAAGGAGUUCGACACUUCCAACCAUACAAAGCUUCGUAUGGUGCCAUUUUAAUACUCACUUGAUAACUGUUAUUGUAUGCAAAUUCAACUAACGACAGAAAUCUCUCCCAGUUACCUUCGAACUAUAAAACACAACAUCGUAGCAUAUCUUUGAGUAUCUGAAUCACUCACUCAGAUUGACCAUUUGUUUAGGGAUGAAAUGUUGUAUAAAAUACAGUUAAGUACUAAGAGCUUCGUGUAACUUGCUCCAGAAUCGAGACGUAAACCGCAAAUCUCUUUCAGAAAUAAUAGAAUCUGGCACACCGUGCUAUCUAACAAUCUCAGUAACAUAUAACUUUGCCAAUCUCUCGAGUGAAAAAUCUAUACGCACCGGAAUGAAAUGCGUGGACUUCGUCAAACAAUCAAUAGUGACCCAUACAACAUAUUUCUUUCUCAGAGAUAGAGACAAACCCGAUACGAAAUCCAUCGUGACACAUUCCUAUUUCCACUUUGGAAUCAUCACAGGUUGUAACAAACUAGAAGGUACCUGAUGUUCAACUUUAACUUGCUAACAAACCAAACAUUUCGGUACGAACUCUAAAAUGUCUUGUUUCAUACCUGACCACCAAUAUAUGUGUUUCAAAUUGCCAUACAUUUUAUUGCUACCAAGAUGAAUAGACAAGCUAUUACUGUGAGCUUCCUGUAAAAUUUUCUGAAUAAGAUCAGAAUUUCUCGAAACACAAAUUCUGCCUUUGAAGUACAAAUUGUCAUCAGAACCAACAUGAAAAUUUGAUUCAGGUGUCAUCUCAAUCUAUUUCUAUUUAGUGAUCAAAACAUCGUCACAUUUCCGAGCUUCACAAAUCUGUUGCAGAAACAUCGGUCUAGCUUUUAAUUCUGCCAAAAUUGAUUCAUCAUCAAUCAACGUCAAUCGUGUGUUCAAUGCUCGUAAAGCAAACAUGGAUUUUCUACUCAAUGCAUCAGCAACAACAUUAGCCUUUCCCGGAUGAUAAUAAUGAUCAAGUCGUAAUCUUUCAAUAAAUCGAGCCAUCUGUGUUGUCUUAAAUUCAAAUCCUUUUGUGACAUCAAAUACUUUAGGCUUUUAUAGUCCGUGAAAAUAUGACAUUUUUCUUCGUACAAAUGGUGUUGCUAGAUCUUCAAAGCAAACAUAAUGGCUACAAGCUCUAAAUCAUGAGUCGAAUAAUUCUUUUCAUGCAGUUUCAACUGUCUAGAAGCAUACACUAUUACUUUGUCUUCUUGUAUCAAAACACAACUUAAACCAUUCAAUGAAGCAUCGCUAUAAAUCACAAAUUCUUUACCGAACUCUGGCUGAACCAACAUAGGUGCCUCGGUUAAUAAAGUUUUCAACUGAUUAAAACUGUGCUGACAUUUCUCAAACCAUUCGAAUUUAACAUCUUUUUACAACAAUCUCGUCAACGGCAUAGCAAUCAUCGAGAAUCUCUUGACGAACCUUCUAUAAUAUCUGGCUAAACCCAGAAAACUUCUGACUUCAGAUACAUUUCUCAGAGGUUUCCAGUCUACCACAGCUGAAAUUUUACUUGGAUCAACUCUAAUACCAUCUGCUGAUACCACAAGUCCCAAAAAUCCUACUUCUCGGAGCCCGAACUCGCAUUUGUUGAACUUAGCGAGUAGUUGUUUUUCGCGUAAGGUUUGUAAAACAGUUCUCAAAUGUUGGGCAUGUUCUAUCUCAUCUCGUGAAUAGAUCAGGAUGUCAUCAAUAAACACAACAAAAAAUCUAUCUAAAUAUGGUCUGAAUAUUCUAUUCACCAAGUCCAUAAACACGGUAGGUACAUUAAUCAAACCAAAUGGCAUCAUAAGAAACUCAUAAUGUCCGUACUUAGUUCUAAAUAUUGUUGUCGACAUAUCAGACUCUUUAACCCGUAACUGAUAAUAACCAGGAUGAAGAUCGAUCUUUGUUAAUACCGUCGCACCUUUCAAUUGAUCAAACAAAUCAUAAAUAUGUGGUAAUGGAUACUUGUUCUUGAUCAUGACUUUGUUGAGCUGUUGAUGAUCAAUACAUAGUUGCAUGGAUCUGUCCUUUUUCUUGACAAAUAACACAGGACGUCCCCAAGGAGAAAAACUGGGCUGAGCAAAGCCCCUAUCUGAUAACUCUUGCAACUGAGCUUUCAAAUCUUUUAAUUUUAUAGGUGUCAUUCUAUAUGGAGCUAUCGAGAUCUGAGAUAUUCCAGACAUUAAUUCAAUAGCAAACUCAACUUUUUUGGUCGGUGGUAACCCUGGUAAUUCUUUUGGAAACACGUCUACAUACUGACAUACAAUUGGAACUGAUUCUAACUUAAAUUCUGAAACUCCAGAAUCAAAUAUAUAAGCGAGAUACGUUUCAAAGCCUUUUCUAACAUGUUUUUGUGCCGACAUAACCAAAAUAACAUCAAAUGCACUAUAUAAUAUGUCUGAUUCAAUUCGAAGCUUUUCAUCAUUCUGACAUUUUAACACAAUAUACUUUCGUCUAUAGUUCAAAACAACAUCAAGCAGAGUUAACUAGUCCAUACCCAGAAUCACAUCAAACUCAUCAAAGCGUAGUAACAUCAAAUUAGCCGGAAAGUUGCAACCCCGAAUAAUCAAAUGGCAGUUUUUAAAGACUUUAUCAGCUAACACAAACUGACCUAAAGGGUUCAUUACUUUAACCAAAAACUCAGUAGAAGGUAUUUUAUUAUUUGAAACUAAGGUUGUGCAUACAUAUUAGUGCGUUGACCCAGGUUCAAUCAAAGCAUUAACAAUAGUAUCAAAGAUAGAAAAUGUACUAGCGAUAACAUCUGGUGCUGAAGCUUCCUGUCGAGCAUGGAUUGCAUAAGCUCUAGUCAGCGUUGGUGCCUCAAAUCUCAUAGUAGAAUAUUUCGUCCCACUACGACUAUUACCCGUAUUACCAGUGUUCCAGGGUGGUGGUCGUCCUCUCGCAGUUGUAUUACUCGGUUGAGUAGUCUUAGCCUUUUUUUUGUCGAAAUUUUCAAGCCAAUCUCUAAGAUAAUUUUCAUACGAACCACAUUUAAAACAUGAAUCAUCUUUCAAUCUACAUUCAUCAAAGUUUUGUCUAUUACAUUGCUGAUAUUUGGGCUUGUUAUUUCUGACACUGCCUACACUUGCUGCAAACGUAGCCUAAGGUUUCGAGCUCGAAUGCUAAUUUCCUCAAUCUUUCCCAGAAUUAACCUCUAAAGCUAACGAACGACCAUGAUAUUCUUUCGACUUCUUUGAUGGUGAUGAGUAUGACUUUUCUAUAGGCUUCUUUCCAGAGUCAUGAGCCUCAUUGACUUUUCUUUUCACUUUGCUAAGUUCUUCAGCUUUCUGCGCUUUUUCAACCAGAACUACAAAUUCUUUCAACUCAAGGAUCCCUAUUAAUAGCUUGAUAUCUUCGUUUAACUAGUCUUCAAACCUUGUGCACAUAGCAACCUCUAUAAGUAUAUAUUCUCGGGCAUACUUACUGAGUCGAACAAAUUCCCUCUCAUACUCUACUACAGAUAUACAACCUUGUUUCAACUCAAGGAAUUCUUUACGUUUCUUGUCUAAAAACAUCUCGCUCACAUAUUUCUUUCAGAAUUUAGUCUAAAAGAAUUAUCAGUUUACUUGAUCUCUCGGCACAAAUACAACUAAGCUUUUCCACCACUAAUAAGCUGAGUCUUUUAAUAAUGAAACAACACAUUUCAAGUAUUUCGUAGGAGUACAUGAUAAUUCAUUGAAAACGUUCACCGUGUUUUCUAACAAAACUCGGCUCUCUUUGGAUCAUCUUCAACUAUUUUUCGGAACUCUUAAGUCCCAUACUUAUGAAUUUUAUCAACUGGAGGCUUGCUCGCCCGAACUAGUUCCAACCCUGAGGAACUAACGGGAUCAGUUGGGGUACAGGUGGGGGUGGAGGUCAUUGAGGCAUUGGGUUUGGUCGCACAAUCUUGGAGAACCAUUCAGACAUAAUCUGGGGGAAGGCUUCCUUAGCCUUUCCUCCCCAACCCUCAGAUACAGGCCUAUUACCACUAGACGCUGCUCCGUGAACGGAGGCUUGCGCGUUACUUUCUACUUCAUCGGAAUCAGUUUAAUUUGAUGACAUUUUAUCUAUUUGAAAACAUAGUCUGAGAACCGACUAAACUGUAGCUCUAAUAAUACUAAAUGUAACACCCCAAACCCGUAUCCAUCGUCGGAUUAGGGCUACGAAGCAUUACUAUACAAAUAAAACAUUAUAACAUACAUUUCAUACAUUAAUAUAAAUUUAACAAAAAAUAUUCAUUCACAUACACAUCAUCUCUAAAUCGUGCUGCCAAGGCCCUAAAAAUACAUUAAAAAAUUUGGGACUAAAUUUGAAGCAUUUGGAAAGUUCAAGAAAAAGUUAGAAAAAUUUGACUGUAGGGGUCACACGACCAUGUGCCUCACACGACUGAGACAUACGCCUGUGUCUCAAGCUGUGUAACAAUUGAAAUAAGGACACACAGCCGUGUCCUUACCCAUGUAACUUUCUGAGUAGGGUCACACGGCUGAGACACACACCUGUGUGCCAGGCCAUGUGCUAGGCCGUCUAACUCCCUGACUUGUAUGCAAUAGAACCUAAAGGGGACACACGGCCAUGUUGCCAGGCCGUGUGUCACACAUGGCUAAGUCACAUGUCUGUGUCUCAGGCCGUAUAGACAUGAAUUUUCCCACAAACAAGCCAUUUCCAUCACCAAAUCAAGGAAACACAUAAUCAAGACAUCAAAACCUUACCAAAACAUGUAUAUUCAAUAGCUUUAAACCAUUAAACCAAUAUGCCAUUUCAAGGCACCUCACAAGCAAACACUAAACUUACACAUUUGAUCACAUUUCCACAAUCAAACAUAGUUCAUCUUCCUACAAAUCAUACCAUAAUUAUGACCAUUAGCAUUUCAACAUAAACUUACCGUUUGAGUCAUACCCUUGAUGCAUCAUAAGUACCAAAGUGACACAAUCCAACCAACAUCAAAUGGUACCAACACAACUUAUACAUGCCAAAAUCAUCAACUAACAUUCAACUAGAUACCAAUACAAGUCCACAUAUACAUGCGAUUAUAACCUUGGCCAAAAUAUAAAAAACUACCGAUAUUUAUGCUUAGUAUGAUUGAUCUCCGACAAGCUUCUAAACCGAUCGAGCUUCCGAUUAUUUAUAAAACAUGGGAAAGAAAACUAUAUAAGCACAUAAUGCUUAGUAAGUUCGUAAAACAUGGAACAUAACUUACCAUUUCCUUAUAUAACAUUAAGUACAAGUAUAAUGCAAUGCAACACAAGCUUGGCACAAGCCUAAUCACCAUCAUCAAUACACAAGUUAGUGCAUAUAUACAUAAUUCAAUUGAAUUUAACAUAUGGUAAUCCAUUUCCAUAGAAAUAUACAUCAUUUGAUUCAUUCUUCAUUUUCAUGAACAUAAGCACACUUCUAUUUGGAAACUUACCAUUUCAAUCCUUUUCUUAAAUACAUGAUAUAGUUCAUUUUGAACACUUACCGUUCCUUUCCUUUUCAUGCCCGUUGAACCAUUUAGAAUAUCUUCAGAUACACGGGAAAGCUCACACGAAUUGUGCUUAAACAUAUAAUCAUAACCUUUCCUUUACAUUGUUACUCACACGAGCUGUGAAAUAGGCCUGCUUGUACGAAUUGUGAAAUGAGAUUGCUCACACGAGUUGUGGGUCGAAAUGUAUGCUAGACGAUGUUGCUUACACAAGCUGUGGAGUAUCUAAAACAAAUGCAGGACCUCUGUUUUGGUAUGACAUUCAAGACUAGCACCUAAACAUGAAAAUCCUAAUGUCAUGUCAUUUGUAUCCUUUGAAUUCUUAAAGUUCAACUGGGACUCGAUAACCGUCGUAGCAUGAUUUUGGAUAUACAUUGUUCAAUAGCAUUUUUAAUACAUAAUAACAUAUAAUUAGACAUCAUGAACAUAAUAAUCCGUACAUACAAAACCUCGACGAGUAGGGCGUAAAAACGGGAUCUACUAAUCUGAGGCUUUAGCUUUUCCCCGAUCUCGAUCCGUUCGUGGCCUAUCUUGAUCUAAAUAGAAAAUAUAAUUCAUUAAAUUUCCCUAGCAUACAAUUUAGUCCAUAUUUCAUAUUUAUACAAAAUUACUAUUUUUCCCUUAACAUUUUAACUUUUUACAAUUUAGUCCUUAAGCUGAUAAAUUAAAAUCUAAGCUUUUUCAUCAUUUUCUCAAGUUAGCCGAUUUCUUUAGGGACCUAUAUCAACUCAUACAAACCAUCAUUUCAUAGAUUUAACUUGAAAUUUUAUCUUUUUUUACAAAUAAGUCCCUAAUUACAAUUUUCAUAAAAAAAUCACCUUAUAAAACUUGUUUAUUUAUGAACAAGAACUCAUAAUCUACCAUUAAACAUAAAGAAUAAUGCACGAACAUUCAUGGAAAAACCCUAAAUCUUUAACAAUUUUACAAAUUGAUCCUCGAGAUAGCUAAGUUAAGCUACAAAGAUCUCAAAAACAUAAAAAUCAUUAAAAACGAGGUAAAAAUCACUUAAAUGCAGUACUUGAACAUAGCCAAACCUUCAAGAUGAAAAAUGGAUGUUUUCCUUCUUUAAUUUCGAUGGAAACAUGAACUAAAGAAGAUGAUACUUUUAUUUUAUGUUAUUUUUCUUUACUUAAUUAUUAAAUUACCUUAAUAACCUUGUUAAUUAACUAAAUAAAACACCUAAUUCAUGCCCAUCCUUUUUCACUAACAUUAUGAAUGGUCUAAUUACCAUUUAAGUCCAGUCACAUUUAAUUUUUGUAGCCAUUUGACCCUUUUUACUAAUAGAACUCCAUUUUUUCACCUUUUAUGAUUUAGUCCUUUUCACUUAAUUAAGCAUGCAAACAUUGAAAUUUAUUGACAAAAAUUUUAUACAACCUUACUAACAUUCCAUAAACAUUAAAAAUAAUUAUAAAAUAAUAAUUUACUUGUCGAAUUUGUGGUCUCAAAACCACUGUUCUGAUUUCACUAGGAACGGGCUGUUACAAAGAUAGUCAUUAAUAAAUGUUGUCUUGAUAUCCAUUUGCUAGAUCUCGUAAUCAAGAGCAGCGGCAAUGGAUAAGAGUAUGUGAAUAGAAUUGAAAAUGGCUACCAGAGAGAAUGUCUCAUCGUAAUCGAUGCCUUCUUGCUAUGUGUAGUAUUUCCCUACAAGUCUAGCUUUAUGUGUUUCCACUUCCCCUUCCGCAUUUCUCUUCUUCUUGUAGAUUUGCUUACACCCUAGAAGUUUUAAUCCCAACCAGUAAGUCUACAAGUUCCCACACCAUAUUGGAUUUCAUAGAAUCCAUCUCGACAUCCAUGGUUGUUUUUAGAUAUUGAAAUCAAUGUUCUGCAUAGCCUCAUCGUAAGUGAGUAGAUCAUUAUCCUCAUGAUUGACUUCUAUAUUAUAAAUACUACCAUCAUAGGUGAAGAAGUCUAAUUUCUUAAAAGUUCUCCAACUACGACGGAUUCCCCUAUGUUGUUGAUUGUUUGCAGGUCGUUCUACAACUAUCUCGAGAAUUAAACUUUGUUAUUGUUCUACAACUCCUCGAGUACCACUUUACUUCGAGCCUUAAAGUUAUCCAUGUAGCUUUCUUCGAGGAAAAUAGCAUGAGUAGAAACUUUGAUCGUAUUAUCAUUUAGAUUGUAUAAUAAUUCACCCUUUGCUCAUUCUGGAUAUCUUAUAAACAUGCACAAUUCUUUCCGUGCAUCCAACUUCUCUGCAUCCUUAUCCAAAACGUGUGCUGGACAACCCUAUAUUCUAAAGUGAUUUAGAACUGAUUUCUUUUCAUGCCACAGUUUAUAAGGUGUCUUACAAGCAGACUUGGUUGGCACAUCAUUCAGACUAUAGCAAAUUAUUUAUAUCGCAUAUCCUUAGAAGGGAGUAAGGAGUUUUGAAUAGCUUAACAUUGAACGAACCAUGUUAAGCAAUGUUCUAUUCCUUCUCUCAGCUACACCAUUAUCCUGUGGAGUGCUUGACGUAGUCAACUGGGAUAAAAUCUCAUUCUCUAUGAGGUAUUCUAAGAACUCGUCAGACAAGUAUUCCCCACCUCGGUCAGAUUUAAGAUUCUUUAUGGAUAAACCUAAUUGCUUUUCCACUUUUGCACGAAACUCUCGAAAUUUAUCAAAUGCUUCACUUUUGUGGUUCAUUAGAUACACAUAUCCAUAUUGAGAAUAGUCUUAAAUGAAAGUCAAGUAAUAAUCAUAACUUCCUCAGGCACUGAUGCUCAUGGGACCACAUACAUUAGUGUGCACAAGUUCUAAAGGUUGGUUGGCCCUUGUACCUUUCGCAUUAGAAAACUACUUAGUCAUUUUUACCUUCCAAUCAAGAUUCACAUUGUGGAAGACUAACUUCCUUAAGCAUACUUAAGGGACCAUCUUUCAUGAUUCUAGUGAUUCUUUCUUGGUUAAUAUGACCAAAUCUUAAGUGGCAUAGGUAUCCCUCAUUAGAGUAAGACGUUUUAAGAUUUUAUUUUCCAUCCAUCCAUUACAAAUUAAAGAACAAUUUUUGUGAAUAAUAAUCCCUUUAUUAAAUGUCACUGUAUAACUUUCGUAAAAUAAACAUGCUACAAAUAAUAAAUUCCUCUUAAAAUAAGAUACAUAAAAUAUGUUUUUUAAAAUAAUCUUCCUAAAAUUAUCAAAAUGUAAAAUAACUUCUCUCACUACUUCAACUGAAACAUAGCUCCCAUCUCCAAUCUGCAAUGAGAGGCUCUUGUCACGUAAACAUCUCAUUUCACUGAACUCCCGUAAAGAAGCACAUACAUGGUUAAUGGCUCUAAAAUCAAUAAAUCAGUUGUCUAUUGAUUCUUCCCUUAAGCAAGUUUCAACCACAAAGAGUUCCAUACAUUUGCCAUUUUCGGCUAGGUAAAUCAAAUACUCUUUACAGUUUGCUUUGAAAUGCCCCGUAACACCCAUAUCCCGUCUCUGUUGCCGGAUUAUGGAUUGGAGUGUUAUAGAACCAAACCAAAACAAUUUAUCUUAAUUCCAUAACAAGUAUUCAAUGAAUUUAAAAACACAUAUCAUAUUAUAUCAUAUCAAUACAGAUCAUAUCAUAUAAUAAAUAUGCACAUGGGCCUUUUUUCGGGUUUACAAGGCCUUAAAAUUAGAUUAAAAAUAAUCAUAGAUCAAAUUGAGACAAAUUAUAAAUUUUUGAGAUAAACAUGAAAAUUUGAUAUGCAGGGGUCACAUGGCCAUGUGUCCAGACUGUGUGACAUAGCCCAAACUGUGUGGGAAUUCGAGGUUGGGACACACGGCCGUGUCCCAGCCUGUGUCUCUAUCUGUGUAACUCACUGACUUUGAUCACACGGUCAUGUCAUAGACCGUGUGUCAGGCCAUGUAACUCUCUAACUAAAUACACACGACCGUGUGCCAGAUCGUGUAUGGCACAUGGCCGUGUGGCAGCUCGUGUGCACCAAAAUGAACAUUAAACAUCAAGUUUACCAAAUCAUGCUUACUUGAACACUAAACAAUCCAAUUACUAGCCAUAACCUAUUCAAAACACAAUUAAACAUGCUCAAAACAUGCCAAAACAAUCAUCUUAAGUGCCUAACCAAUGUACCCUCUUUAGUACCACAUUUUAUAUUUUCUAAUAUAUUAAUAAAACAUUAAACUAAAAUAUAUACCAAAACAUUUAGAUAGGCUAACCUACCAAAACAUAGUCUCAAAAAUAAUGAAAAGACCUCCCUAUAUAUGUCAUUACAAAAUAAAGCAUCACACCAGAACUCUAAACCACAUCAUUCAACAAUUACAGAUCAAUGUAUUCAUCUAUGCAUUACAUAUAUAUACACCUGUUCCAUCAUUACAAAAUGUACUCUAGUAAAACACAGAUCUCACUCAUUAACUAAAUCUAUCAACAUUCUCAAAACUCAUAUAUUCAUCAAUAUAUACAUGCCACUACCCAAUUAAGAUGCAAAAGUACCGACUUAGAUGUGAGCUAGUUGAUUGAUCAUUCCAAAAAGUCAGCAACGAUUAUCUACAACACUUUCGAUUUAAUCACAGGGAUCUAUUCUAUAAUUUUCCUUUUUCCUCGAUUUAAGUCUUUCUGUCCCGGUUCUUGAUAUGCAAGCAAUGGAAAUGGCCAAACCUAACUUUAAAAGAAAUGGCUUUCUUCUCUUCUCAAAUUCAGCUAAGGAUGGUGGAAGAUGACAAUGUUUCUUUUCUUAUUAUUUUACUUUAGUUUUGUUUUAUUAUAUUACCAUUUUACCCUUAGAAUUAAGCUUAUAAUUUAACAACUAAAAAGGCCCUUAACUGUCUAUCCAAAAUCACAUGGACUAAUUACUUUAUAAGUCCUCUUUUAUUUGAUAGUUAAGCUAUCAAAUCAUUAUAAUUCAAUUAUGUCUAGAUUUUGAACAUUUUACAACUUAAUCAUUUUUCUUAAUUUAACUAAGUAAACAUUAAAAUUCUUUCACUGAAACUUAAUACGACCCUAAUGUAACUCCACAACAUUGAAUAAACCAUAAAACACAACUUCAUAUAUCGAUAUUUGUGGUCCCGAAACCACUAUUCCAUUACCACUAAACAACGGGAUAUUACAUGCCCUUUUCUAUUGCAGAAGAAACAUUAGAUCUUUUUAGGAUAUUUUGACUUCUUAGCCUUCUUCCUAUCCAUACGAGGUGGAAUCGAAGACUUAGUAGGUUUAUUCUUUCUUUUAGCUUUUUGCUUUCAUUUAGAGGAUGAAAGACCCACUGCUAAGUUUGCCUCAGGUUUCUCCUGAACUGACUUUCCACCAUUCAACAUCAACUAAUAGGAUGGUAAUUCCUUCAUGAGCUGAGUCAAGGUAAGCGCCUUGUUCCUUAAGUUAUAAGCAACCCUAAAACCAGCAAACUCCUUAGUUAAGGAUUUGAACACUAUUUCAAUCUGAGUGUUCACGUCUAGUUCAACCCCAUUGUCUUCCGCUUCCGCAAAGAUUCCCAUAAGCUUAAGCAUAUGUUUUUUGACUAGAGUGCUGGAUUUUUGUUGAGAGUUCAUCAUAUUUGUAAUAGCGGAUUCUCGAGCUAAUGCGACUUUGCCUCGGAGCAAAUCCUCCAAUUUUUUCAUAAUCUUUUUAGUAGUACGAAAAUUCUCAUGUUACUUUUGUAACACAUUACUCAUGCUUGUUAACACAUAACAUCGAGCAAACGAGUCAGAAUCUCUCCAACGAUUUCUCGCUUUGGGCUAAGCUUUAAAAGGGUACAUUUCGUCAAGAACGAAUUUGUGUUUCUCACAGCUAAGAACUAUUAGCAAGUUUCGUUUCUAUUCUCGAAAGUUAUCCCUAUCCAAUUUAUUUUUAGUAAGAAUGCUAAUAAGAGGAGUAAGAGACAUAUUUGAACUGAAAAAUAAAGAUUCACUAAUUACUAUCUUUGUAUUAAGCAAAUAUUUUCAUUUCAGAAACAUAUCAAGAAUGCAAUAUGAUGCAUGCGUCUUGUAUUAAAACCUUGAAAAACCAUUUUUCUGUUGCUACGAUCAUUCUCAUACCCAUCAACCAUGUCAUCUUGGGGUCCCAUGAUUAACUAGAAAGAAUACGAAUUACAUCCAUUUAGUUCGUGAAUCUUAAUUCUCAAGACUCCACACGAACCAAUGACCAUUUUUUUGGAUCGCCGGCACCCCUACGGUGCAGCACCCUAACCAUGGAUCCAUGUGUGAAGAACAAAUCGGGGUGAAAAGAUUACGAAAUUACCUAAUAUUUCGAUUGAGAAGACAGUAACUUCUCAACAAUGUGUAGUCUGAUCUACAGUCAAACCAAGUCACAAUCUAUUGAGACUCUGACCUCUACGUAAUCCACCCAGUUGACUACGAACGGAAGAAAAUUCCCAAAACAGUUUUGAGAGUUGUAUUUCUUUGACGGCUGCUAGACCUUAAAAAUAAUGAAAAACGGGAUUCUAAUAUAUCCCUUUUAUUUUUAGGGUUUUUUAGGAAUUAAAUAAAUAAAAUAAUAUUUUAAACCGAAAAUUAUAAUUACAUUAAUUAUAAUAUAAUUUCGGUAAACCAUAUAUUUAUUUAAAUUCAUAUGCUAAUCAAAUUCAUGUCCUCAUUAUGCGUACAACAACCUUGUACAUAAUGUGUUGGAGAUUUGAUUACUGAAUUAAAUUAAUUCUAUAAUUAAUUUAAUUCAAGUGACACCCAAAAAUAAAACCAACUAUGGUUUAUUCCGUUCAUUUCAACUAUAGGGUGUGACCCUGUAGGUUCCUGUAACGUUAGCAGUAAUACUAGAACGAUUCCAAUGUUACAAACAAUGAGUGGCAUCUAGCAAUGCAUCAUUGCUACCUAAGUCACAAGAGAUCAUGAUUCGACAUAACCUUUUAUGAUUAACCUUUUAUGCAAUAACCCUUAAGUCCUUUAUCUCUGGAUUGGACACAAGUCAUGGAAUAGUCACACUUGUAUAGUCCAUUCCAUGUUCCUUGAUAUCUUAAGCAGACUACGAUAUACAAAUAAGUAUGACAUCUCAUAUCAACUUAUUUGAGCAUGGCCAUGCAUUUCUAGUUUCACUUAAUCAAGUGGCCUAAGAUAUUACUCCCAUUAUGUAGGAGGGACUUAUUCUAUAUUGACCAACCAUAUCCCUCUACAUCGAUUGUGAUAUAUCCAACAUCAGCCUUUAUAGAACAACUAGUUACGGUGUACGUUUAACUGUAUCAAAAUAUACUACUCACGAUGUUGGGAUUAUGAUGAUCUCAAGUCUGAGGAUCAUAUACAUAUUAAUCACUAUGAGUAAUGUCGUGACAAUUACAUAAUAAUCCAAGAGACAUACUCAUAAUGGGUCAGUCCAAUAUGUUGUUCUCUAACACACAUAUUCAUGCAUCGAUUCUGACAUUCCAUAUCAAUGACAACUCUUUAUCAUCAAUCAACUACAUGUUAGUCUUAAUGCAUUAUCAUUGUCCUAUCCAACAAUAAUACUUGACUAAGGAUCUUUUAAGAAUAAUCAUAUUAUUCUUAGGACAUUAUUAUAAAACAGCUUAUUUAUACACACAGAAAAGAAACUUAAAUAAUAAUGGUAACGCCUUAUAUUAAUAAACAUGAUAAAUCAAGUAUGUUAUUACAACCAUCUCAUGAUUGGUCUUUGGGCAUACUCUAACACAUUUAACGUUUGGUCAUCAUCUCUAGCUUAAAUAUAAUUUUUGGGGAAACUAUUUAAUAAGAGAAUAUCUUGAGUGUGUAACCAUUGUCUCAACAUCCAUCAUGAACACACUUUCAUUUGUGAGUCAUCUUGGGACAAUCUCAUAGAGAGUCAUGCAUGACUAGUUUUCCUGAAAAGGAAAUCUCAUCCAGUGAAUUCACAUGAUAAAAUUUACAUUGGGGUGCGGCCAAGGUAGGAACCAACUCAAAAUUUUAUCAUGCUAUCACUUAGGGACCAUUAAUGGAGGUCAUAGGUCUUGUUCAAGAACUUUCUCCCACUCAAUAUUUUAAAAUAGCAUGCAAGGUUUUUUAUCCCAUAUGUCAAGAAUGAUCAUGCAAUAGUCCUAGUGGCAUUUUUACCUAAUCUAUAUGUCAUGCUUCCAAUAUAUGCAUGGUAUGCUAUAAAAAUUUUAUAAUAUUUACAUUCUUUUAUCACAAGAAUCAAUUAACCAAAAAACAAACAAUUUUGAUUCUCCACAGUUUUUGUUUUGAGGGAACAACAGGAGAAGUGAAUGUAAACCAUGCACUAGGUAGGGUCCUAGGAAAAAGAGGCGAGUCAAAUUUGACCGCUUAAAAACCAAGUAUUUCUUAGCUAGAAUCAUUCCUAGACAUGCACGUUCUCAUUACCACACUGCUCACAGUAAUCGAAUAACCUAAAGAAGUGACUAGAACAAUACAACACAAGUAUUUUCUCAUUAUCACACUUCUUAUUUUGUAUUCGAUCAACUACAGAUCAUCUCAUAUAUAUAUCACAAUUAUAACAUUACAUAAUAUAAAUAUUAGAAACAAUUAUAAAACAGUGUCCAUUAAUGUUUCUAUGGUUCUAUUUCCAGAAUAAAUGAAAAAAAAUAAAAUUACAUAAUUUUUCACCACAAGGCAUUCCUUGGGCCUUCAACUGGCAUCGCUCCAUCUUCUCCUCAUUAUGGACUUCUUUUGAAAAAAUUACAUUUAAGUCCUAUAUCUGUUUUCGGCUCACAAGAAUUCUAUGAACUAAAGAAAAAUUCUUAUGUGGAGAUGAUAGUCAACAGUCUAUUUCCUAAGAACCACAACCUUGGAAAACAAAAUUAUAUAACAAAUAUAUAAUAUUGCAUCCAUUCCCAUAUACAACUCAAAACAUGCAUAAGAUCUAAAGAAUAUCACUUUAUAUGUAAUCAAAUCAUUCAAGAAGAAGAGAAAUUUAUAUUGAUUAUCUGCUUAUACUUACAGAUAAAACACAACCUGACUCUAAUACCAAUUGUUGGAAAAUCGAGUUUAGAAAAUGCAAUGGAAAAUAAAUUUAGGGAAAAAUUAGUUUUAAAAAAAAACUCCAAAAAAGAACUUGGUUGUGAUAUCUACAGUAAUAAACACUUAAUCAAAAUUGUAUCUUUUCGAUUCGUCUAGGAUGAACGCUUCGACAUAGUAGUCUUCUCUGUUAUCCUCAAGCUCACGUUUUCCGAGUGUGGUCUUGCUUCGAAUCAAAAAUUUUUUCACAAAAGUACCAGUAGGAUAAUUUUUCAAUUUCUCUAAACUUUUGGGAUAAGUUGUAAAUAAAAAAUAUGUUUAGAAAUUUUCUUAAAUAAUUUCUUUAUAGAAUUUUCUCUCUACAACUUUCUCUUGAAUUCAAGUGUGUGAAAAUAAUGACCCAAGACUCUCUUUAUAUAAGGAGAGUUUAGAGAGUUCAACUAUGAUUAAACUUAAUCACUUUAAUAUUAAAUUUAACCUAAUAUUUAAUCAAGAUAAAUAUUAGUCUAAAUUUAAUAUUAAAUCUUAUUAAAUUAAUAGAAUAUUUAUCUACAAUAUAAACAUUAAAUUAAAUUUAAUAUUAAGAUAAUAACUUUAAUAUUAAAUUAAUAAAAUACUAUUAAUAAGUAUUACAUUAAAUUUAAUAUUAAAUAUAUUAAAAUAAUAUUAUUUCUGGAAUAGUUAAUCUGAAAUCAAAUUCUCUAGUAGAAUCCCAAUAGGAGUAUAAUUCUUCCACUACUCAACCACCGAAGAGAACCACCGUCGUUGACCAUAUUCCUACCACUGGAAUGUUGUCGUCAUAGCUGUCGAUGCCUCGAGUUGGUUCGAUUUCUAGCGGUUCGGUCCGAGCCAAUGAUAGCCAGAUCGGUCCGGUCCAAGCAGUUUUCACAUCCAAGCCCGGUUCGACUAGUUUUUGGGUCUUGGUCUUGAUUUUGGUCUCCCGAGCCCAAUUUACGAUAUCAGGUCCAAUUUUCAAGUUCAAUUACCCAUUGGUCCAACUGUUUGAGUUGAAAAUUAAUUUCUAAAAAUAUCAUAUUAAUUUUAUUAAUUUAAUUUUACUUGAUCAAAAUAAAUUUUUCCAAAAAUGAUUUAGAUUUUCCAAAUUAAUUUUGCAAGAAAAUUCUUUAAUCAAAUUCUUUAGUUGAACAAUUCUUACAACCGCCCAAUUUAUUUCAACAUCGAAUAAAUUGACUCAAUUAAAUUAUUUAUAAAGUCGUAAAAUUUACUUCUAAUUCAAAUGCAGUCCAGUUGAGCUUUUGUUGAGCUAGCAAACGGACCAAUCAAACAUAUACAAUUAGGAUUUAUUAAUUGUAAUUAUGUCCAGAAGCACCGUUCUGAUAAUUCACAAUUACAUAAUCAUGGAGCCAGUCCACAAUAAGUACUAUGAUUGAAAACUCAUUAUUGUAUACUCUUUACGAAAGUAAUUCAUCCAACUGUUUUGCCCAAUGACCUCAUCAUGUUUGCCUCAUAUGAUAUCCUUGAUUCCUUUGAGUUGAUGUGUUCUCGGGUUUGCUAAAUAGGCUGAAACCUAAGCUGCCAUUUCCAUCCUAUUUGGGACUAUGACGCAGGCUAAAGCUAAAGGAUUCAAAUAAGUAUUUGUGGGCUCUUAAGGCCCUAACCAUCCACUUUAUUUAUUUAAUUAAUUCCACAAUUUAUAAUUUUAAUUUUAUUUAAUAUGUGUCAUGAUUGUGUCGUUGUUAUUACAUUGUUUUAAAUAGAGUCUUAAGAAUGUCUAGUUUGCUACAUGUUUAAUGUGUCUUAAAAUAUGUUAUGGUGUCAUUAUUAUGUUCCAUUUUAUUACAACAUUGUUAUUAUGUUUAUUGUGUCCUAAUGGUGUGUUUAACGUGCCCUAGGGAAAUCUAAUGGCCUUCUUAAGAAGCUAAGGGAUUUUUCGCUUGGCUAAAAGAGAUCAAGCGCGUUCACACCUGUUCAAUUCAGCUUGAAAAGUGACCAUUCAACCAACAAGUGCUUCAUUAAGUGCCACUAUCCAAAUGAGGGCUGAACAUGGUUGUUGGAAACUUUUCUAGAAAAUGUCUAUUGGGUUUUUCCAUGCCUCAUAAAGCCGCCGUCCACCAAGGGGGAAGUAUAAGCCUUUUGAAGAAUUGCUUAGCCAUUUAGCAUGCUUGAAUUCUUCCCCAAUGUAAUUAAUGGCAACCUCUAUAUUCAAUGCUAAGAUGCAUGGACGACUAAGGUUAUGUACUUGAGUUUAAAGUAACAUUUCAUAUCUUUCACAUUAAGACCGAAUGUGGCCAUUAGCAUACCUAAGCUUAUAAAGAUUUUAGUCAUGUUAUUUUGUAAGGUUAGACAUCUUUGAAUCAAUAUUGUGAGAUUAUUCUCUUGUUCCUUAAGAACUUAUUUCUAACUUAUCAAGAAUUCAUUCUUGUGGCAUUCUCCCAUUUUUUAUCUUAUCACACCCCUUCUUAUCUUUCCGGAGUGUGGCAGUCAACCCUAUACCUUUGGUUCUUAUCUCUAUAUAGAUAGAGGGUCAAGGUUCUUCUUUUUUUCUAAGCUUCUUGAGUUUUAAACAACCAUAUAGAAAUCGGGUUGUGUUAUUUUAUAACGUUGGUUCAUUUUUGUUCAUUUUAAGUUCGUGAGUUAUAUCUUGUCAAGAACGAAUGGGAACUUAAUAAUCAUGACUCGUGAUUUCAAUACGUAACAAGGUUCAUGUCAUGAGUUAAAUCCGUUCACUCAAUAAAAUCCUAUUUUAUCCCAUUGUCACCAUUGUGUCUUUUUAAUGAUUAACAUGAUCACUGUUAACAAAUGGCUGUGAUAAAUUGCUCGUUCGAGAACAAGUAACCGUGGUCACGUUCCAUGUUUAUUAAUCCACACAACACCAAUGAGAGGAUAUCGUUAACUCUUUAAUUGAGCUAUAAAUUCCAUUAUUGCUAAUAAAGUCAUGCCAUACACAAGUCAUGUACCCAACAUACCAACUAACGGAUCGAUCAUCUUUACAACAUAAGCCUCCACUUAUAUCAAAGCACAUGAGUUACAUAUGCAUGGUCAUUGACUAACUCAAGAUUUUGUUAAAUCACACCAUAAAUGUCACAAGUGAAUUAAUUCAUCUUGGGUCCAAUCCAAUGUAUCAUUCUACCAAUGAAUACAUCUAUGUCUCUACUCGUGGAGUAAAUUGCUCUGAUAACCAGGACUAGUCAUCACCUCUAUUGGAAUUGUAGACGACAUAAUAAUCCUUCUCAGUAUUUGAAUCAAAUGCUCACUUUGAUUCUUUUAUGGGAUUACAGACUCUUUUAUAUUAUCUACUAAAGUAAGUUGUCUUUCUCGCCACGUAAACAUUUUUAUAAUUCAACUUAUAAUCAAUUUGAACUUAGAUAAUCAAUAAGUUAAUAUUUGUUUGUCACAAAUUCACUAUGCAUGCAAAAUAUGAAAGACAGAAAUACACAAGACAUAAUAGUAAAAUGUGAACUUUAUUUAUUCACCGUUCAAAUACAUAAAAAAUAAUUACAUGUUUACUACAAUAUGAGCACAUUUCCUAACACAACCAAGAAGGAAUUUGGCUCACGACCGUCGAACACCCGGAUGUGGCACACAUUUUGACACGGGAUAAUAGUUGAUUUACUUUAUUAUUGUACUUAUCAUGUUAACAUUUCAAUAAAUAUCAAACAUGUUUAUUGCAUCGAUGUCAAACAUCUUUAUUUUUUAAAAUAAAAAUAAUUGUUUCAUUAAAGUUGGCCUUUGUUAUAAAUUAUUAAUUUGUAUUGUAUAGCAAAAAUGUUUUUUUUUUGCAAAGUACAAUAAGUUGAUUACAAUAAACAAUUUAAUAGGUCUAUUCAUGAGGUGUUGUAAUUGUACCAUCCCUUCGGUGUGGACAUGAUGACAUUGUAUGCCUCGGAUGCCUUCACCACCCACAUAACGUUGGUUGGUGUGGCUUCUCUUGGAUAUCGAUGUUAUCGCAUAUCCAAGUGGACGUCGGUCGACCUUUUGGUUUGUGACAAAAUAAUCUAUCGGGUAACAACUUGAAUAGAGCGUUAGAUACAGAUGGCCACUUGCGUUCAUUAGGGACCUAUGGGAAUACAUUUCUCCACACGUUGUACAUGUUUACCUGUUUGUAGACUUCAUCCACAAAGCUUAUUAGAUCCAAACGUAGACUGCUACAUGCUACAAUUACAUGAGCACAUGGAAAUCGAAGUGCGUCAAAUCUCCCACAGUCACAGGUUCAAUAUCUGAGGUGUACAUGGUACGCUCCCCCAACAAUCUUUUGGUUGGGUCUUUCGAAUUCUAUUACCCAAAACCAUAAGUCUUCACGCGAGUGACACACUAGAUGCAUACAAUUCACUCGUGUUGUUGCCUUCCUAAUUUCUUUUAGUAUGUCCUCGCUCCAAACAUGGUCGCCCUGUAUCUGCCCAACAUAAUUCGCCGCUCGCUUUGGAAAAAUUUCAGCCAAACGGAAGUAUGUCACUUUGAUAACCGAGGUUACCAACAAAUGAUACGUUCUCUUCAAAGCAGAAUUGAUGCAUUCUGCCAGGUUUUUUGUCAUGUGCCCAAACCAUAGACCCUCAUCAUAGGAUUGUGUCCAUUGUUCAAAGGGUAUGUUACCGAGGUAGUCCGCCCCGUCAUCAUUAAUGGCCUGUAAGUUUCUCAGCAUUUCACAGAAACAGUCUUUGAAGAACUCAUACCCUAUCAACAAAAGUGAAUAAUAGUUUAUCCAUAAUGCCCAACAUUUUCUCACUGGUUAAAUAUCAAAGAAUAAUUAAUAGUAGCAAUUAUAUACCCAUGUUGAUCACUUGUGCUCAUGAGCAGUAGAGUCGUAUUAUCUAUGGUAAAUCGAUGAACAUGCCUUAGACAAUACCUAUGGUAUGUGUGGUCCCAAAGGCUUCCCUGUCGUCCAAAUAUGGCUAGAAUUUUAGGCCCUCAAUUUGAGAUGAUGCAAAUAUCGAGUUGGGGGAAAACAUGCCUCAUCAACUUAGAAAGGAAGAAUUCCAAUCAUCUGUUGGCUCUCCAAGCAUGAUUGCAAAGGCAAUCGGUAGGAUUUUUCAAUUAUCGUACUGUGCCACACCCAACAACAACCAAUGGGUAUAUCUCUCGUACAUAAAAGUACCUUCGUUUGUACAAGUGGCUUACAGUAUUGGAAUGCCUCUCGACAUUGCAUGAAAGUCCAAAACAAAUGUUUGAACACUCGGGAUCCAUGGAGCAACCGAUUGUUGUAGUACGCAACCUGAUACGUACAUCUUCAAGACCUGACACCACUGCCAUAUCUCAUUAUACGACGUAUUCCACCCACUAUGCCUUCUCCAAUGUCUUCUGCUUUACGAUCCACGCCUUGCAGUACGAAGACGUGUAAUCGAACUGGCUACAAAAAUUUACAAUUAGAACUAGCACAACAAUUUUAGGACUCGCUUUGACUACAGAGUAUUAUAUCUGCGAUCAUCUUUGAAUCCAAUUUUGAAUGGUCCCGUGAAAUACUUGUAACAACACGAGUACGUUAAGAUUAUCAAUUCAAUCGUGUCAUACACUAAACCAGUAUUAGUGCAGUAUCCGUGACAACACACGUAAACAGAGCGACAAAUUUCUCUAUCGUUCAUAACCCCGUUUUUCUCUUAACAGAUAUCAUGAUUUUCCAUGCAUAUCUGCUGUCUCGCAUUGCGCACUUCACCUUGAACUUGUCAGAUCGGGAUUUAACCACAUAGAAGUUUACCCCAUUUUUAAUUUUGUAUCGCUUCACUGUAACGAUAAAACCAUCUUCAGUUGAGAACUCUUUCCCCACUUCUAAAUCACCCGAAUCCAUCGAAGAAAUCGUUUGGCCCGACCUUCUAGGUGGUAAUUCUGCAAACUCCAUUCCAUCAUCUAUAAAUAGGUCCACAUUAUGCAUGUAGACUGGAGGUGAGUACGCCGUGAACCAUGGAUCUUUUUCAGCAUCAUUACUGAGACAUUUACCAUUUGAACCCUCUAUCUUUUAGUUCAGUUGGAAUCAGUUCUAAUUCAGAAAAUAAUGCAUUUUCUGAACCAUCAGCACCAACAUCUUCCGUGUCAUUCCCUUGUAAGUGUUCCUAGCAUUGAACACUAGCUAACUGAAGUUUAAAUCAGAACCACUAACUAAGUGUUGUGCAGGGGUCCUACCACAAAACCCCGAUUGAUCGGUGUUCUGACUGCUGUAGUUGAAAACUAGUGCUGAAACAGAUGGAUGUCUUCCCAUUUAUGAUUCUGGAUAUCAUAAUGGAAAUUUUCUAAUUGAGAGGUGAACCCACCACACAACUGUGUCGUUGGACUCUCAACUUGUUCUUCCAUUCUAGCCUCUCGAAUAGGAACAUAUGUCGACCUCCGAGGACCUUAUAUGUCCUUGUAAACUCCACAUAUAACUCGAAAAAUGGUGAUCCAAUUCCAAUAUGCGUCUGCACUAUCGCCUCUAACCCCCUCGCACCUUUGAUUUUGAAAGCGUCAUAUCUGAUAGGGUCGACUGAAGCACAAAAUUGAUAUUUAAGGGACAAUACUCUAAUCUGGUUGGAUCUGAUAAUUUUUUGCCUAAUUCUUUUCCAAAGUUAUGGCAAUUCUAUGUUCUAGUUAAAAGCUAACCGCGUUGUGUUCUCUGAUAAAAAAUGACACCAUUUUCGGUGUCAUGCACUUCACCAUCGUAGUAAACAAAAGCAUUCAUUCGUCCACUCAUUUUUAGAUCUAGAUAACCUAUUCCACAUGUUCGACACAAAAUUAUCAUGUAGAGAAAUAGUGUUGUAAUUAAAUAUGAACAACAAAAAUCAAUGCUACUUUAUAUAAUUGCUCCAACUUAUGCCUUAUAUGUGAACUUCUCCUCUUAUGAUCUUCUUACAAUUUUUCUUUACUCGUAAAUGGAUUAUGCCACUCGAUGUUGAAUUAAUUUGGUUUUAUAAACUAGAGGCGACUUGCAGUUGGUUCAGAAAAUUCUCCAGGCCUAGUGGGGAGUUAAAAAUUGUAAAGAGAAAACGCUCCAAGUAGGAUGCACUGUCUGAAAACACUUUCAAGUGGGCACACUUUCAAUGUUUCUAAUGAUAGUGUUGUUAGAGUAUGCCCAAAGACCAAUCAUGAUAUGAUUGCAAUAACUUACUUAUUUUACCUCGUUUAUUAAUAUAAGGCAUUGUCAUUAUUAUUUCAGUUUUUUCUAUGUAUAUAAAUAAACUAUUUUAGAUAAUAAUAUCUUAAGAAUAAUAUGAUUAUUCUUAGAAGGUCCUUAGUCGAGUAUUAUUGUGAGCUUGGACAACAAUAAUGCAUUAAGACUAACGUGUAGUUUAUUAAUGACAAAGUGUUUUCAUUGACAUGGCAUGUCAAAAUCAAUACAUGAGUAUAUGUGUGAACAACAUAUUGGACUAACCCGCUAUGAGUAUGUUUCUUGGAUUAUUAUGUAAUAGUCACAACGUUACUCAUAGUGAUUACUAUGUAUACGAUCCUCAAACUUAAAAUCAUCAUUAUCUUAACAUCAUGAGUCGUAUAUUUUGAUACAAUCAAACAUUCACCGUAACUGGUUGUUCUAUAAAGGCUGAUGUUGGAUAUACUACAAUCUAUGUAGUGGGAUAUGGUUGAUCAAUAUAAGAUUUGCCCUUCCUACAUAAUGGGAGCAAUAUCUUAGGCUACUUGAUUGAAUGAGACUAGAAAUGCAUGACCAUGCUCGAAUAAGUUGAUAUGAGAUAUCAUACUUAUUUGUUUAUCAUAGUCUACUCAGGAUAUCAAGAAACAUUCGAUAGACUAUGCAAGUGUGACUAUUCCAUAACUUGUGUCCAUUCUAGAUAGAAAGAACAAAAGGAUUAAUACAUGAAGGGUUAAUCACAGAGAGGUUAUGUUGAAUCAUGACUUCUUAUAACUUAGGUAGCAAUGAUGCAUUGCUAGAUGCCACUCAUUAUUUGUAAUAUUAGAAUCGUUCUAGUAUUACUGCUAACACUACAAGAACAUACAAGGUCACACUCUAUGGUUAAAACGAACGGAAUCCAAACAUAGUUGGUAAUAUUUUUAGCUGUCACAUGAAUUAAAUUGAUUAUAGAAUUAAUUUAAUUGAGCAUUUAAAUAUCGAACAAAUUAUAUGUACAAGCAUGUUGUACACAUAAUGAGAACAUGAUUAAAUUAAUAUAAAUGAAUUUGAUUUGUAUAAAAUUUAACUAAACAUAAUUUAUCGAAAUCAUUGUUAUAAUUGUUGUAAUUAUAAUUUACGAUCGAAUAUUAUUAUAAUUAUUGUAAUUAUAAUUUUUCGAUCAAACAUUAUUAUAAUUGUGGUAAUUAUAAUUAUUACAUUCGGUUAAUUAUUAUAAUGAAUUUUGAUUCAUAUUAAAAAUAUCAACUAUUCCCAGAUUAGGAAAUAUAGGGUUUUUAAGAAAACCUAAUAUACUUGAAAUAAAAAGAGUGAGGUCUUGCAGCCAUUCUAUAGUGAAUUCUCUCUGAAAAUUUUAAGAGAGUUCUUGUCGUUCGUUGCGACACCAGGUGGAUUAUGUAGAGACCGAAACUUUUUGUAGCGGCUUGGAAUCGACAUACAAUUGCGUAAUCAAUUUCACAACAAUUAUCUGUAGUUUUUCAGACGAUUAAAAGUAAUCGUUCAUACCCUUCUCACCCCGAUUCGUUUCUCGCACAUGGAUCCCUGGAUGUGAUCGCCAAAUUUAAUUUUUUUCGGUUGCACCAUGGGGUGUACUAGUGUUCUUACAAGUGCGUCCUACUUGGAGUGUUUUCUCUCUAUAAAUUUCAACCCCAGCCUUAUUCCAAGAAACUCAUCAUAUAUCCCAGGAUUCCUGAGAUAUAUUUUCUAAACUUAACUAUUUGAAAAUAAUAGAUAAGAGAAUAAACAAUUUACUAAAAAAUUGGAUCAAACAAAUAUUAAGAAAGCGAAAAAAUUAAUAACUAAUAUUUCAUCCCUCGCGAGUAGACCAGGUUUCGAUUAUGAAUCCAAUUCAAUUUUCCAAUUUGAAUAUACGAUUGGUGUAAAUACGAUGUUUUAAAUUUUGAAAUAAAUAGUUAUUAUUUAACAUCUCAAAAAAUUAUUACAAAAUAAAUAAUUAAAAAACUCAAAAAAAAAUUAUUAAACCCUAAACUCAAAAAACCUUACUUUAUAUACCCAAAACCCUAACCCUAAAAACUAAUAACCCUAAUUUUAAAAAGGUCUGGCAUUGGAAAAAUCAAAGGAAAAGUGUUUCUAGUUAGAAGUGUUUUCAGUUGACUUGGCAGAAAGUGCUUCCAACUGGAAACGUUUUUCAGGCAACACGUUGAAAAUGCUUCCAACUGGAAGUGUUUUCCAAAAAAUGGUCUAUUCCCGUAAUUUUUACUAAAAUCGGCCUAUUCACAUAAUUUUUUUGACAUUUAUUGGUAAGUUAGUCCAAUUAAAAUAAUUUUAAUUCUUGAAUUAAAAUAAGUUGAAUUUAGAAAGAAAAAGAAAGUCUACCUUGUAGCAUGUCUGUUUGGUUUUCUCUCUGUCUGCUUGUAAAAUGGUGGAAGAAAUGGUGAAUCUCAAUAUAGCAGAAGAUAAGAAAGAGCCGGUGCAAGCUUUGGGGGAUAAAGAUGUGGUAGAAGAGUAUUAUAGCCUAUGUUUGGUGGGGCGGGUAUUAACGAAUAGUGUGGUUCAUUUCCCAUUUAUGAGGAAUAUUUUGGUAGAUCUGUGGCAUCUGUUGGGGGGAGUAUCCAGCACGGAUAUUGGGGAAAAGCGAGUCCUGUUUUGAUUUUUCAAUAUGAUAGAUCUGAGGAGGGUGAUGGAUGGAAUGCCCUGGUUUUUUAACAUACACCUAAUUAUUUUCCAUUAACUAGAGAAGGGGGAAAGAUCCUUUGCAAGUCCCUCUCAUUCAUGCCUUAUUUUGGGUGUAAGCGCAUAAUUUGCCGAUGGGUUUCAUGUUCGAAGGAAUGGCGCGUAGAUUGGAAACUUUAUUCGCCAAUUUCUAGAGUAUGAUGUUGCGUUAAUAACAAGGAGAGUAAGGAAGUUUAUGCGUAUUAGGGUUAAAUUAGAUGUCCUGGUUCCGUUGAAAAGGAAGAAGCGUGUAGUCUUUUAGCAUAAUAGAUCCACAGAUGCACAGUUCCAAUAUGAGAAGAUUACUUUGUUCUAUUUUUUAUGCGGUAGGUUGGGCCACGGGGAAGGAUUUUGUCCUGUUAGAUUAAUGCUAGGAGCACAGGAGGUGGUUUUUGGUUGGGAUAGCUCGUUGUGGGCUUCACCGCAGAGGGCGGUGCCGGUUGCUAGUUGCUGGCUGAGGGAAGAUCCGGGGGAUGGAGUUGGAUAGAGGACAAGAGGGGAGGAAUUUUGGGGAUAUUCAAACUGCUCAAUCUUAUAACAGUGAACAAGCGUUGUUUUAUUAAUGAUAAUUUGAUAACAAUAUUGUUGAAAAUACCAAUUUGUUUAGAGCUACUGAAGUCUCUGUUUCUCCAGGUUUAUGAAAGCAAAUACAUGAAUGGUUACCUUUCCCAGUUGGCAUAAUUCCAGUAGGGGUGAAAGUAGAGUACUUCCUCCUCAAGUUGAACUCCAAACUUGCUGUCAACCUUAUCCUUCACCAAAGCAAUGAGAUUGAGCAUGUCUUGAGAAGUGGAGGCACCAUUAUUAACUAAGAAAUUGGCAUGGAUAUUGGAAACCAUUGCUCCUCCUAUGCUACACCCUUUCAAUCCAGCUUUAUCAAUCAACUCAGCUGCUGAAACACCCAAAUUCACCGGAUUCCGAAACACUGACCCAGCGCUGCGUUCAUUUACUGGUUGAGUUGCUCUUCGCCUGCAAAUAACAAUUGUUUAUCAGUAAGCAAACCUUUUUCAUACACUGGUUUUGACUUUAAAAGACAGGCAACCUCUUCAAAAGCUCUUGUUGCCUUUUCUUAGCUGACCCUGAGCGCUCUAACCGGAACGUAGCAGCCACGAUUGCUGCCAAGUUGUCCAUGUCCUGAAACGAUGAUGAUCGGUAGCCGAAAGUGAGAUCAAUUCUGUUCAGUGUCCGAAAAUUUCCUUCAGUUGUAACAAUGUCUACGCUUUCAAUAACAUUGGCAGUCUCCUUCAAAAACAAAUGAUCCUUUUUAGCUUCUUCAACCACGAAAAGUAACAAAAAUCCAUUAAUGGUUAGGGUUUAAUCUCAAGAUAAGUUGAAGUCUGAACUCGAGUUCCAUUCAAAAUUCGCAACCCAAAAUCCAAAUCGAGUAUGAUGAACUAUUUCAAACUUAUAUAUCAAAUAACUUUUCUCUACCUUCAACUUCAAACUCAAUUAUUUUUGCUCGAGCUUCGAACUCCAAAUUAGAAUACUCCAAUUCUGGAGCUCGACAAUGACCGAACCAAAUUGGAGUUAAGAAUUAGAGACAUACCUGACCAUUUGCUCCAGCAUUCAUGUAAGUUGCACCUCCUACAGUCCCAGGAAUGCCUGCUGCAAACUCAAGACCUGUAAAUCCUUCAUUGCAACUCAGACUUCCCAAGUGAUUAAAUCGAAAACCACUACCAGCCCUAUAAACUCCAGGUUCCAUCCUCUCUAAGAAGUCAAUCUGAUUUAGAAGCACACAACCAUCAAAACCCAGAUCAUCAAACAGACAAUUUGAGCCUUUGCCAAUCACAACGUAUGGAAUGGAAAACUCACGACAAUAUCUGCAUUACGUAUCAGUUGAAAUCUAAAAUGUUGGUCAUUGAAUCAAAGAGCUUUCAGCCUUGUCAAAAGAAUCAAAUUCAAAUAAAUUACCAUUUCUACUUUAUUAAGAUAAGGUUGAAGAUAGCAAGAAGAAUGAAACCUGAUGGCAGAAAGCAGAUGGGUUUGGUGAAAGACUUGAACAAAGUAAUUGCAAGGGCCACCAAUGCCCCAAGUGCUAAGAUCCUUCAAGAGUUUCUUGCCUCUGACGAAUUUCAAGGCAUUCCAAUUCUGGGUUUGCUCUUUGUUACUGGAAAAAAUGGGGGUUGAGUUUCUAGGAGAUUGAACAACGGGGAAGGCCAUGGACGCCAUUUUAGUGAAGGUUGGAGGAGUUGGGAGCAUGAGUGACGGAUUUUGUCGGGAAGUUGAGAACGGGAAAUUUAUUUCCAUCAGGUUCUUGAUGGGCUUUCACUAUCAAAGAUUUAAACACUUCCGUUUAAUGCGUUAUUACGGUAAAAAGUUCUUUCACUCCACUCAAUUUGGGAAAUAGUAACUGAGGGUUAAUUUUAUAUAAUUUUGAUUAAUAAUAUAAUUACAUAUUUUAACAAUUUAAUUUUAAUCCUAAAAAUUUAAUAAAUUUAACAUUUAAUAUAUAAAAAUCAAUAAAAAAAUACAAUUUAAUCUUCAGCACCCAUAGCAAUUCUUCCUCCUAUCUUUGGAUCCUUCCAUCUUAUUUUUGAAUUCUAAAGCUCUAAAUACUUUCACAAAUAAUGUUUCUUUUUUCUUCUUAAUAUCUGAAAAUCGUAAAGAUUCAAGGAAGCUUCUUUAGAUUCACUUUAAGACGGUAAUGUAUUCCAUCGACAUCCAACCUCUUUUGUAAUAAGUCGUUGAUUAUUUUUAUUAUUUUCCUCCAUCGACUAUAUUUUUCUUCUCAUAUUUAGUUCCAAUCAACAUAAUUAAUCUGUUUCCAUUCCCAUAUUAAUUGCUUUUACUUUUCCUUUUUCUUCCCCUUCUUGAGGUUAAGAAAUCCCAUAAAAGUAAUUUUUUUUAAUCAAUUGAGGUGUUUGUCUGGGUUUGGCUUAGUUGCCCAUCUCAACAAAGCAAAAGUUUUGAGAAAUUGGGUUUUGAAUUCUACAUUGGAUGGGUUUUGAGAAAUUGAGGUUCCUCCGUUAGAUAGGUUCAACGCCAUUUAUAUAUGUAAAAAGAAGAGCAUUCAAUAUGGGAAUGGAAAUUGGAAACAUUUUAACUUUACCACCAUCGGAUCAUGCCCAAACUCAAACCAGCAGCACUUUUCUUUUUCCAAAAUUAGAGAGCAAAGGGAAGUGAAAUAAUAUAAUAUGUCUUGAUUACCAACAAUUGCGGAUCUAAACCAUUGCUUCCAGCAUUCACCUCCAAUGGGUCAUUCGUAUCUAACAGGAUUUCGAAUAAAUUGCCUGAAACACAUAGUUGGAAAUUUUGAGUAUUUUUAAAAUAUAUUUUUUUAAAAUUUGAGAAAAUUUGAAAUUUAUAUAUAUUUGAAGUUUAUUUUUUUAUAUAUAUUUUAUUCUCAUAUAGUUUUUCAUUUUAGAAUCAAAACCAAAUUGAUUGAAGGUGUAAAUACUAAGGGUUAAAUUUGAUUUGUUUUAAAAAUUGGAACCAAUUUGACAAAAUAUGAAAAUAUUAAAUGCUAAAAUUGUUAUUAUACCAAUUAAAAUUAUUUAAAGCUGGCAAAAAAAAUGAUCGUCCUUAGUUGCACAAUUUUGAAAUUUUUAGAGAUUAAACUACUUUGUUUUUUUAGAAGAAUCAAUUUAAUCAAUAUCGAAUUUGACAAGGACAGGGGAGGUCUUUCCACCAUGUUAAUUACUAUAAUUUUAAAUUUCUGAUAUUUAAACAAAGAAGGGGAAGAAAUACUGGAUGGCAAUUAAAGUGGAUUUAGAGAAAGCUUACGAUAGAAUUCGGUGGGAUUUCAUUAGUGAUACUUUGUUGGACGUUGGAUUUCCUUCGAAUUUAAACGAGGUGAUUAUGGAGUGUAGUACUUCGGCUUUCAUGCAGAUAUUAUGGAAUGGAAAACCUUCAGUCUAAUUUGUUCCAAGGAGAGGCAUUAGACAAGGAUGUUGUAACAGCCCGUUUUCGAUAAAAUCGGAACAAUGGUUUCGGGACCACAAAUCUAAUUUCGGAAAAAAAUUUAUUAUUAUAUUAUUUUAUAGUCUAUAGUAUGAUAGUAAUGUCAUAUAAAAAUUUCGUAAAGAAAUUUUACCGAUUACAUGUUUAAUUUGAUAAAGUACCAAAUUGCACAAAGUGCAAAAGUUGAGUUCUAAUAGCUAAAGGGAUUAAAUAGCUAUAGAACUUUAAAUUGGAGGUCCUUAUAUGGUAAAUAGACCAUUAAAAAAACUUAGUAAUUAAGAAUGAUGAUUCAUCCAUGGAAAAUAAAAUAAAGAAAAGGAUGAAAUUAGAAAGUGAAAUAAUAAAAGAUAAUAAAUGAUGAAAAGAUAAAAAUAUCAUCAUUUAUAUCAUCUUUCCCAAAUUAAAAGCAUGGAAACCCUAGCACUGGAAACCUAAGCUCAAGCCAACUUAUUUUGCUUGAUUAGGUAAUUAUUCUUGCCCGUUUUUAAUAAUUUUUAUAUUUCUCAUAUCGUAAAAGCUUAAUCUAGCUAUCUUCAGGAUUAAUUUGCAAAUUUAUCAAGGUACUAGGGUUUUUCCAUGGAUGAACAUAGAUGAAUUAUGAAGUUUUAUGAUAGAAAAUGAAAGGUUGUUGAUAAACAACUUUUGUAAAGCGAAUUUUGAUGAAAUUAUGAUUUAGGAACUAAAUUGAAAAGAUAUAAAAUUCAUGAAAAAAUUCUAAAUUUUAUGAAAUACAUGGGCUGUAAAUUUUACAUGUAAAAAUCGACUAGGCUUGGAAUAAGGAUUAAAUUGCAUGAAUUUUAUUUUUCGAACUUAGGGACGAAAUCGUUAUUAAUUAAAAUUUUAGGGGUAAAAUGGUAAUUUUUUCUGAGAUAUGGAUUGAAUUGAAAUGAACAUGAAUUAAUGUUAAAUUCAUCAUAUAGAUUCGGAUAGACCAAAUUCGAAGUUAGAACGAGGAAAAGAGAAAAUGUUGGAUUAGUAAAUUUUGCGUACACGAAUAUUUGUCGAGGUAAGUUCGUGUAACUAAAUUAUGUAUAUUAAUAUGUUUUAAUUGAAUGUUGUGUAUGUGAACUGUAUAAAUGCUAAAUAUAUGAAAUUGAUUACAUAUCCGAAAAAGCCCGAUAAAUAUUAAAUCUCGUUUGAAUAAUGGAAUUCGAUGGAUACAGAAUUUCCCAAUUGGUUGUAGUCCUGCAUGUGUUGCGGACACACCACAGCUCCUACGAGCAUCCUGUUAUAAGCCCUCUCAAGCUUCUUGUUAUAUGGUUCCUACAAGCAUCCUGAUCGAUAGUGAUCUUGCAUGUGUUGCGGACUACCGCAGCUCAUUGUGAUCGUCCUGUUAUAUGAUCGGUUGUGAUCCUGCAUAUAUUGCGAACACAAACACAGCUCCUUAUGAGCGUCCAGAUAUGGCUCGUUUGAACUUCCUGAUAUAUGGUUAUCCGGAGCUCCUGAUUAAAAGCUCUUCGUGAGCUUCUUAAUUAAAAGUUCUUUAUGAACUUCCUGAUUAUUACUCUUAUGAGAUUCCUGUUAUAUAGCCUGGAUAAGCUUCCUGAUAGGCUCUUUAUGAGCUUCCCAAUUAAUGGCUCUUUGCGAGCUUCCUGUUAUAUGGUUUAAGAGAAGAUUUCUCGAUUAUGUGCUAUAAAGAGCACUCUUGAACAUGAAUUGACAGAUUUCUAAUUUGUACACUUCGAGUGUACUACCUGUGUAUCCAUCGAUAUUUCAAAUAAAUUCAACGGGCAAAAUCCUGACAUGAGAAAAUAUGAACAUGAAAUGAAUUAAAACACGUAUCUACCUGAAAUACAUGAAAAUGAUGAUACAUGAUAUAUGGAAAUACGAGAUGAUAAUAUAUGAACAUGGAAUUUGUUUGAUAAAUAUGUUCAUCCAUGAUUAUAGAUUUGUACACCUUGAGUGUAUUACUCGUGUGACACUAACAUUUCAAAUGAUUCAAUGGGCAAAGUUCCGACAUGAAAUAAUCUGAACUCGAGACGAAUUAUCAUGAAAAUGUACUUGAAAUAAAAUUAAAUAUCAUUUUACUUGAUCUGUAUAUUUCGGUAAUGCUUCGUAACCCUAUUUCAGAGACAGAUACGGGUUAGGGGUGUUACCGAUGUCCAAUGUCUCCUUAUAUCUUAGUGCUUUGUAAGGAAAAAUUGGGUCAUUUAAUUCAUAAGAAUGUUAAGAAUAAACUGUGGAAACCAAUUGUUCAGGGUAAGAAUGGCCUCCUUUAUCACAUCUUUUAUUCGUUGGUGACCUGUUCUUGUUUGCUGAAGUAGAUAUUGAUUAGGCUAAGGUCUUAAAAAAUGUUCUCAACACUUUUAGAGACGUCUUGGGACAUGAAGUCAAUAGACUUAAAACCACUGGCUCUUCUCUAGCAACAUAGACUCCAACCAUGCUAAUGCCAUCUGUAGUGUUUUUGGUUUUUUCCAGACUGAUGAUUUGAGGAUUUAUCUGGGACUACCUCUCAUUCACUGAUGAAUAACAGUGAACUCUUUCAAAUUCAUUGUGGACAAAGUUAGACGAAAGUUGGACAGUUGAAAUGCCAAAAACACUAUCUGUGGUGAGAUGAGUAACUUUAGCUCGGCCAGUUUUAUUGUCGAUUUCUAAUUAUUUUAUGCAAACUGUGAAAAUCUCGUUUAGUAUUUGUACAGAAAUUGAAAAAAUUGCUCAGUGAUUUAUUUGGGGGAGUUAUGGAACCUUUCAAAAACCAGUGUUGGUAAAAUAGGGAGAUUGUUGUCAACCUUUGCAUAAUGGGGGCUUAGGUAUCUGGAGACUUAAGGAACAAAAUGAUUCUUUUUUGCUUAAUUUGGGAUUUAAUCUCCUAACCAAUGAGCAAGCUUUGUGGGUAAGGGUACUCCGUUCUAAGUACAAGCUCUUGGAGGAUUUUUCUAAAGACAUUUCUCGAAGCAAAUGUUCUCUUGUCUGGAGAUUGCUUGCGAAGGUUUAACCCAUUUUGCGUUAUAAUUUUAUUUGGUCAGUUGGUGAUAGGAAUUGUAUAAAAUUUUGGACUGUCAAUUGGAUUUCUGAAAUAGGGCCGCUUAUAAACCAUGAUUUGGUUCCCUCUCUGGUUGAUGUUUCUAUUAUGCUUCAUGAGGCGGUGGAUAUAGAAGGUAUUUGGCACUGGAAAUACUUGAGGUGUUUUUUAAAUGAGGAUAUUCUAUCUUAAAUCAGAGGAAUUUCGACUAUGAAUUCUUUAACAGGCUAUGAUGAUGUUAUUUCGAGCUGGGCAGCUAAUGGAAAAUUUAGCAUCAAUGAGGCUUACUGUAAGCUAACAAUUAACUCAUUGAAAAUGCAAGAAGAAAAAUGGAAUCUUGUUUGGUAUUUGAAUGUCUUACAACGUGUUCAACAUUUUAGUUGGAUUGUGUAUAAGGGACGUCUCUUUACUAAUUUGGAAAGGUGUAGACAAGGAUUGUCAGAAUACCAUCAUGUAAGAUUUAUGGGAAUACAGAAGAAUCUAGUCUUCAUGUUUUACAAGAUUUUCCUAAGGAAAAAGAAGUGUGGAAUCAAUUAAUCCCUCACAGAAUUCAGAUAAGUUUUUUCACUUACUCCUUAGAGGAUUGGCUGACUUUAAACAUGGAAAAUAAACUUGAGGUUACUCUCUAGGAUGCGGAUUGGCCAUCUUUGUUUGGGAUUGUUUGUUGGAAAAUUUGGAAACAGAGAAAUGUGUGCGUGUUUCAAGAUGACCAUUGCAACAUAAGCAGUUUGAUUCAUUCUUCGUGGUUAUGGGCAAGGUCCAUUAAGUAGAGAUAGAUAAGUUCGAGAGGGAGUAAUGGGAAUCAAAUAAGAAGCCAAAGAUGGGCCCCUCCACCUAUUGGUUUCUUUAAAAUAAAUACAGAUGGCGCUUGCAACUUGAGUUUGGGUUCUGCAUGGUCAGCAACGGUGACACGUGAUAAGCAUUGUGACAGCCCAAAAUUGACCCUAGUCGGGAAGUGGUUUCGGGACCACAAAACCGAGUCAUAAAAAUAAUUGAUUUCCAUAUUCUAUGCUUAUUAUGUGUGUACAUGAGUAUGUGGAAGUUUCAUUCUCCAAUUUUGCCAAUUGCAUGAGAAAUUAUUAAAUAGGGAUUGAUAUGAGACAUGGUGAAAAUAUGAUAGGCUAAUUUAAAAUGGUCUAUUAAUGCAUGUUGUGAAAAUGAUGGGUUUGCAUGUCAAAUUACCCAAAAUUUGAGCUAGUGGUUGGCCAUGCUAUGGGUGGAAACAUGUUGGGAACAUGUUGGCCUAGUGAGGUAUGUAGGAAAAAAAUAAAAUAAUAGGCAUGGAAAUUAAAUAAUGAAAAGGAGCAUGAUGAAUACACAAAAAAAAAAGUGUGUAGUUGAUUCUUUUCCCCCCCAUGGCCGUGAGCUAAAAAAAAAAAGAGAGGAGAAGAUCUUUGUUCAUCCUUUUCUCACCUUCAUUUAGCCUAAAUUAGAAAGAAAAACAAAGAAAAAAAUUUCUCAUCCUUUGGUUCAUCCUUGGCCAAAAAUUUUAAUGAGGAAAGAAGAAGAAAGGUGAAGAGAUUCGGCCAUGCAUGUAGCUAGGCUAAGGUAUGUUUGAUGAUGUUCCAUGAGAUGCAUGCAUGUUUUAGUUGUUAGCUUGAGUUCUACCUAGCCCAUGGUCUAAAUCUUGCUAUGUGAUGGAAAUGGCACUUGACCAUGGAUGCAUCAUUCUUGGUUGAUGUUUGAUGUUGUGGUGAUGAGGCAUGAGGAUGAGUUAAGAUUCGGCCUAGGUGGAGGUCGUGUUAAUGCCAUUGCAUGCAAAAUAUGAAGCUUGUUAAUGAUGCAUGUGAUGAUGGCUUGAUGAUUUUUGAACCUCCUUUUUAGCAUUUUUGUGUGAGCACAUAUGUGCAUUGAUUGCUAAAUGGAGAAGAAUCGGCUAGCAAGAUGUGUGCUAAGGCCGAAUGUAACUUUGCAUGUUAAUGAGCAAUGCAUGUGUUAAAUUGAUGAAAAGGGGGAGGAUGCUUUACUAGUGUGUAUAUGUGUGUAUUAAGUGUUGAAAUCGACCCCAAAAAUAGACAUGCAUAUUCGGCCAAGGGGAAAGAAAUUAGCUAAUAUGUUGUGUUGAUGCAUGAUUUUUGCAUGUACGAGACUUUAAUGUCUAAUGUAUAAAUAUGGGCUAAGUGCCUUGUGUUCAUCUUUUUGAUGCCUAAAUGAUGAAAUCAAUUUAUUUGUUUAAUUAAGCUCAAGAGCAAAGGGGAAAUAAAUCCGAUAAAGGGAAGGAAAAAGUGGUCGAAUAGUUAGCGGAAUCGUUCGACAACACCCGAGGUAAGUUCUUGAGUAAGAGAGCUUAAAUUACGAUGUGAUUAAAUCAUGUUUUAAGCAAAUUAAAAUCAUGCUCUAUGUGUGGCUAUUGAGCCGAAUGUGCAAGGACGAUAUGUGCCUUGUGUUUGAGUUUCGCAAAUGAAAAUGAAAUAUGAAUGUGCCAUGAAUUAUUGUUAGAUGUGCAUGAUUAAUUGAAUGCUGUCCGGGCUAAGUCCCGAAGGCUUUGUGCUAAGUGAAUAUAUCCGGACUAAGAUCCGAAGGCAUUUGUGCGAGAUACAAGUUCCGGGUUAAGCCCCGAAGGCCUUUGUGCGAGAUACUAAAUCCGGGUUAAGUCCCGAAGGCAUUCGUGCGAGUUAUUAAAUCCGGGUUAAGUCCCGAAGGCAUUGUGUGAGUUACUAAAACCGGGCUAUGUCCCGAAGGCAUUUGAACGAGGAGCUAUAUCCGGUUAAAUCCCGAAGGUAUGUGAUUUGGUAAUGAAUGAGCUUGCUGUAAAAUUCCAGCGAAUACACGAAAAACAUCCCAAUAUGGGGAUAUGUUACGUAUGUGUUGAAUUUAGUCGAGCCCGUACAAAUAAAUGUUCGCUCAGUUGAUAAACGAGCUACCGGCCUUCGGCUAAGUUAGUCUAUUGUGUAUGUACAUAAUGGUUGUUUAUGUUGUGAAGCAAGUUUGAUAUCGGUAAAUUGCGUAUUAUGAAAUAUUCCGUUUAGCUAAAUGUGUGUUAUACUUUGUUUAUGCUGGAAUUCCUUGCUCAAAACUUACUAAGCAUAAAUUGCUUACUUGUUACACUGCUCCUCUGUUUUAUAGAUUUUUGGUUCUCCAGCUAUCGGACUCGGGAUCUUGAAGUCGAAGUCGCCCACACUAUCAAAGGCUCUUUUGGGUACUAUUUUGGUUGAAUUUUGAUAUGGCAUGUAUAGGACUACCCAUUGUUGUUUUUCGAGUACUUUAUGAAAUGUAUAAGUGUACAGCCAUGCGAAAAUGGCUUGUAGAAGUAGAAUAUGGCAUUAGACCAUUCGUGUUUAUGAAUGUAUAGAUGGUUUCAUGAUGUAACUAUAGUUGGAAUGGAAGUGUUGAGCAAAUGAUCAGCCAUUGGAAUGGCUAAGUAUGAUCAUAUGUGGGCAUAUGUAUGACAAGGCCCUAGUUGGUCCAUGAAACCCCGAAAAUAGGUAGUGAAUAAAUAUGUAAUCGAACCUUGAUGAAUCUACUUUCAUAUGAAAGUAACGAAACAAUCAUACGGACAGUAUGUUAAGAGAUAUUCAGGUUCUCGUGAGACAGGGCCAGAACGGUUUCUGGAUUCCCUGUUCCGACUUUGGAAAUUCAUUAUAAAUUAACCAGAGAUAAUUAGGAGUCAUACCAUAUAUGUAUAGAUUCCUCUCUGAGUCUAGUUUCUAUAGAAAUAAACGGCAUCAGUAUUGGAGCCCUGUACAAGGAGAUAUCCAAGUCGUAAUGCGCAAAGGUCAGGGUAGUCGAUCCCUGUAACAUGGGAGACUUUGACUAAUAAACUGUACUAAUUGGCCCAACCAAAAAUUCUAGAAAAAAAUAUGUAGAUGGGCAUAUGAGUCUAGUUUCAGGGAAAAAUCACGAAACUGAUUUUCGAGUUGUGAAGCUCAAGAUAUGAUUUUUAAAGCGACUAGUACACAGAUUGGGCAGUGUCUGGAAAUUUUUCAAAGUUUGUUAACACCUCGUGUUCGACUCCGGUGUCGGACUCGGGUUCGGGGUGUUACAAGCAUGGUAAUUGGAUGUGGGGAAUAGGAAGAAGUAUUGGUACAUGUAGUGUACUACAAGCUGAGCUUUGAGCAAUAUAUGAUGGCCUCUGUUUUGCCUGGGAAGCCUAAUGGGCAAAUGUUAUUAUUGAGAAAAAUAGUGUGCAAGCUAUUAAAGAUGUUGUGCGAAUCCAGGAACUUUGCCAACGCGAAUGGAGAGUGCUCUUUAAAUAAGUACCAAGAGAGGUGAAUUUGACUGCUGAUAUUUUAGCUGGUUUGAUGAAAGAUGCUCCUAUUGGCUUAAGAAUAUUUCAUGCUUCCCCUUCACAGGUUGAUGAUCAAUUAUAGACAGAUAGACGAGUUAUGCUACUCAGCAUUGAUAUUACUAUUAGCUUGUAAUUGAAGCUUUUUAUUUCUUGUUACAAAAAAAAAUCUGAUAUUUAGGGUUAGUUUCACUGUAGGAAGUAUAAGCCAUAUUUGAAUUUUAGAAUGUCAGUAUUUUAAAUUGUAUUAUUUCAUUUGAAUAAAUAUUUUAUAAAAUAAGAAAAGUAUAUUAAAAACAAAGGAUCCUAUUAAAAAUUUAGCCUAUAUUUUCUUUAAAGGUUUUUUUUCUCUUUGUGAGUUGUUUCGAGUAAGAUCUCGAGUAUUUUUUUUUGUUUCUUUGUCUUGUUUUUGGUUUCUUAGGAUUUUCCUUUAGGACUUUUUGAGUUUGUUUUUAAGAAUUUGGUCGUUCUUCUUUUUCGAUUGUUUGUUUUAUUAUUUUGUAGGUUUUUCUUUCAUUUCCUUUUGUGGAAGUUGGCAGUGUUAUUGGCCUUUAACAAGGGUUACAGAAGGCUUGCACUUCAUUAAUUUUCUAACUCAUUAUGGGUCAAGAGGGUAGAGGUUAUGGAGAGUGAUUUCUCUAUUAAUUUAAAAGAAGAUAGGGCGGAGGUUGACUGUAUGGUGAGUUGUACUUUGAUUGGUAAGGUUAUUUAUGAUAAGAAAUUGUAUCGGAGGAGUGUCAGUAAUGUGCUGCAAAAUAUUUGGUUUUCAAAUGAAGUGGAAUCAGUUGUAGAAAUGGGGAUUAGUUUGUAUACGAUAAAUUUUUAAAGUUCAGCUUGGAUGGAGAAGGCUUUACGUGAGAGUCCUUGGUUGGUGAUGGGGUGUUUCUUUGUCCUAAUGAAGUGGGAACCAGAUAUGGGUGUUCAAGAUAUUGAUUUCUCUAAGGUGGCUUUCUAGAUCUAGGUACACAAUUUGCCUCUUAUGAUGUUAACUAUGCAAAAAUCCUAAGAAGGUUGAUAACAUAAUUGGGGAUUUGGUUUGUGUAACACCCCUCACCUGUCUCCGUUACUAGAUUAGGGUUACGAGAUGCUACUAUACAAUACAUAACAUAAUUAUGCUAUAUCAAUGCAAUACAUUCCCAAACAAUUGUUAACUAUCAAAUUUGUAAUCAUGUCAUUCAUAUCCUAACGGUAUUAAAUCGAGCUCAACAAAUCUAUAAAACAAUUUAAAACAAAGUAGGGACUCAUUUGAAACAUUUUAGAAAAGUGAGGUAAAAAUGAAAAUCACACAGCUGUGUGAAUCUAUAGGACAUGGUCGUAUUGACUAACCGUGUGGGAGGAGGUACACGAUCAUGUCUCCAAACCAUGUAACUAACUGAUGUCGUGUGUGCCAAUUGAAACUUAAAUCACAUAGACCACACGGUCAUGGCAUACACCCGUGCAUGGCACAUGACCGUGUGCACCUAAAUGACACUUUCUCCACAAGUUACCUAAUUCAAUUUCCUUAGGCCACAAGCAAUAUUAAACCAUCAUUCAAACCUACUCAAAGUCAUCAAAAUAUACCUAAAACAACAUCUAUCUCAUACAUCCUAAGUGUUUAACUAAUAUGCUACAUUUGACACCUUAAUUCAAACAUAUUCAAAUUCAUAUUUAACAACCAUCAAUUCAUAAAACAUAUGCCUAAUAUUUGAACCAUUUCAUCAAUCAUAUACCAAAACAAACCAUACAAAACAUGGCCAAAACAUCCUUAAAUAUGUACAUACUUAAUCACCAAAAGUACCAACUUAGCAAAAUACCUCAUCAUUAUUCACAUAGCCAAACCCUACCACAACUUGAAUAUAUAUAUGAAAUCAAAACACCUACUACAUGGAACUUAUAACCUACCCAAAAAUGGUCAAAAUUCUACCGAGUCAUUAAACUGAUAGUGUGAGCUCGGACUUGACUUCCAAUCGACAAUGACUUUCGAUUAUCUAAAAAGAAUCUAACAGGACGGACGUAAGCAAUUAUUGCUUAGUAAGCUCAUAUUAAAAUUAACUCAACUUACCAAUUUUUCAAGAAAACAACUAAAGCAUGGAUUAUACCAAUUCGCAGGAUAAAUUCUAUGCUCAUGGUUAGCCUAUACAAAUCACAAAUAUUACAAAUUAGUACUUGUCACACCCCAAGUUUAGCGGAUCUAAGAAUGAGGCAUGUAGUUGUGAAGUUAUUUGUUUGGCGUAGUGUAAUCCACCAUGUUAAGUUUUCUGACGAAUUGAAAUGUGGCAUAUAGUACCUGCCAUUGAGUAAAUAAAGGUAUUAGGUUAUUUUGUUAUCUAAGAGAAGGACAUAUCAAGCGAAGUUCGGUCAGGUAAAAGUUACUGCCAAAUGUUUAGUAUGCCUAAUCUGUUUGAAUAUUGUGCUAGUUGGAUUGUAAAGUGAUCUGGUUAGGCUGGUCUAAUAUCCAUUAUGCAGGAUUUUCAUUUAAUUUUCUCUCAGAAUCUAUAGGCCAUUAAGAAGGACAAAUUUUGAAUUAAGUGAUACUUGUUAAGUUCCACGAAGUAGGACUGGAGAGUAUAUAUAUGUGAGAAGGGUUUGUCAGGACGUUUUCUUCUUCCUUCAGUAUUACUCUUUGGUUCUAUUUUUAAAUUUAAAUGUUACUUGAUCUACCACAAAUCAACGUGGCAAAUUAGGAUUGACGCACUUGAUGAUCUUUUUCUCGAGCAAAAUAGAGUUUUUAGCAAUUUUUUUAUUUUCAUAUUUUUGGGUAAUAAGUGAAAAUGUCUUCAUUUUGUCUAUUUUUUCCCAAAUUGGUAGAUAGUGCCAUUGGGAGGUCUAACGUGUGUUUGAAUGCAGUAGGGACGUGUCAAAGGUCGAAAAUGAGCGAGAACGACAUCUAGGGCAAGGGUAUGCGUUAUCCAACCUCUAAAAUCGCGAAUCCUAUUUUGAGUUUUCAAUAUGAUAGAUCUGAAGAGGGUGAUGGAUGGAAUGCCCUGGUUUUUAAUAGGCAUCUUAUUAUUUUCCUUUAACUGGAGAAAGGGGGAAGAUCCUUUGCAAGUCCCUCUUAUUCAUGCCUUAUUUUGGGUGUAAUGCCUUUGUGGUGAAAUCAGGGUAAGUUUAGAGACUCAUUUGCUAGAUAAAUCUGUGGAACAGAUUUGGAUAAGUUUGAAAACAUCUCUAUUUGGAUAGCCUUGUGAUAAAAUUGAGUAUGACUUAAAGGCAAUUUCUGAAAGAGUCUCAAUAGUGUUUCUAAAGGGUGAAUCAACCAUAGUAGUCUGUCAGUACAAGUAAUUUGGUAUAUUCGUAAUUAUGAGUAGCCUAAGAGUUUGUCAGAUUUGAAUUUGUUUUCUUUAUGUAAGGAAGCAAUUUGAAUUAUCUGGUAUCUGUCAAAUCUGAGUGUUUCACAUUAUAGAUAAAAAGGUUAUCUGAAGUAUAAAUUGUCCAUCAAAUCAGAGUGUUCUCAUUAUAUGUAAUAUGGUUGUCUGGGAUUCCACUGGAUGACUUAGAAGACUUCACCCAUCAGAAUAAGUUAUGAUCUGGGUUGAUAUAAGACAUGAUCUGACUAGUAAUCUGAUAGCUGUCAAUUCAUUAUGAGAAUCCACCAAAUGUAAGAUUUGUAUGAAGCUUGUCUUAAAAGAUCAGUUAGUAUUAGUAUCAACCAAGAAUAGUAUCUAUGAGUACCCCAUCAUGGGGGAGGUAUUCAACAUCUGACUGAGUGAGAAUCCGUCAAAGUUAGGUUUUGUAUGGAUACCUUUCUAUGAAGUGUAUUCAUUUUUUGAAAAGGAAUGAGAUCUAUAUUGAGUGUUCAAGACUAGAAUCUGCUCAAUUAGUGAAUUGUAUGUAGGGUGUUUGAGUAUGGAAGUUGGCAUAUAUGCAUACACCCAAUAUUAAGGAAGUACUCGCCAAAGUUAGAAAGGAAAUCCAGAAUCUUUCAAGAUGAGGAAUUAAACAACAAAUGUUGCAAGGUGAUUUGAGUUAAAACUCACUAAUUUCAUUUGAACUUACAAAUGUUUGUUUAUGUUUCAAGUUUCGCCUUAAGAGUAGGUACGCCAAAAGGGACCAAGCCAGGAUUGUGCCAAUGUAGCAGUUCAAGUGGCAAAAUUAUGCAUACAAAGCGCACUAUAAGAGUAUGGUGUAUAGUACUCUACGCUAUAAAGAGUUAGUUUCAAGCUGUAACGUUAUAUGUUUUUCAAACUUUGAUGUAAUCAUCAAAUAUCUAUUUUAAGAAUAGUACAAAAGAAAUAAGAAAUAUAUAUAUUAGAAAAAUUUUAUGCCUGUUGUAAAAUCUCUGCUAAAUGCUCUUGUAUUGAAUUCGGUGAUUCGGGUCAAGUAGAGGGUGUUAUAAUCUUUUCAAUUUUUAACCGCUUUUUUGCACGACCCAUACGGCCCUAUAUAUUUCUCAACCUAUUUUUAACAUAAUUUUUAAUGUUAAACUAAUCCUAAACAUCCCCUAAGCCCUUCUAAUAGUAGUUAAUCACCUCCCUUCCAUCGUUGUUUUAAGCUUUCGCCAUUUUUUUCGCGAGUUCCUUUGUUCCUGCCACGCCAUUAUUGUCGCCUCUCUACUGCUCACCUCUAUUGUCAGCCGCCUCGUCAACCAACAAUCUCAGUAAAAUGUUUUUAACUUUUGUGCUUUAUUUUUUUAUUUCAUCGUAUUAGUUUAUUUUCGGAGUAUAUUUUUAUAUUACAUUCAAACGGCCCUGAGAAAAGUUUUCCCCACCUCGCAAUUGAGUGAAUUAGGAGAAUUUAAUUCUACCCGAUUUUGAAGCCAAGAAGUUGAAAAAUACUUCUUGGAACUCCAAGGGAAGAUUUUCAUUCAAGAACGCGGGUUUGACUAGUCGUUCGACUUGAACGAUGAAAUUUGGGACUUGAUUCGUGUGAACCAUUCGACUGACUUUUGUCUCACAUAAAAAGAGUCAGCAAUUGACUCUGUUGUGUACGAGUUUUAUGCCUUGUUAAAAGAGCGAGAAAAGAAUAAAGCAUAGCACAAUGUGCACCCUCAUGCGAUCAUCUGAGGCAAAAAGCUCAUGUGUACUCCCCAAAAAAUUUACAACUUUUCUAAUGCCCCAUACUAUGUCUCUGAUGCUUUAGAUGCAUUAGAUAUUAAUCAUUUCAGAGACAUAGAUAUGGAUGAGAUUGUUACUUACUUAACCGAGGGGAGAGAAGUUUGGAAAUACCAAUCGAACACCAACAUCCCAUUAUUGUUCAAUAAGAAAUAAUGUUCUUGGUUUCCAAAAUAUGGAUGCAGUUUAUCUAUACGCUAAUCUCACCAGCUUUAAAUGUGUCUAACCUUAAUGCAUUUUGAGUUAUUUUUUUUAUUGUAUCUUGCAACGUCGAGAAGUGUGCAUGAGUGAUAACUCUUGAAAAGAGUUAUAUUUAAGGCCUCUAAAUAGAAUUAAUUAGUUGUAAUUAAGUGAAUACAUUUUCAUUUUUAGGAUAUUUUUAGAACAUUGCAUAAUAAACCUUGGAUUGUGAUAUAAUGGUCAUUAUUUGUUACUUUUAUAACUUGGGGAGGAAAUGUGUGGUUUUGUGUGAAUACAGGUGUAAGAAGAGCAAGAAAAUGAAGAUGGAAAAUAAAGGAAGUGAAAUAUUAUCGUAGCAAAUAGUGAAAUUGAUUGCCAACAGAUUUGCCAUGGUAAUUUCGAGAAGAUGACUCAGCACUUUAUCCACAUCAUUCUCAGCCAGUUGUGCGUGUACCAAAAAAUCCAACCUGAAAAGAAAAAUGAAAAAAGUGUGCUGAGGUGAGACGAAUCUACCCAAUAAAAAAAGAAGAGAGAAGAAGAAAAAAGGAGGAGAAUUUGUAUAAGAAAGAGACUAGUUACAACAAUCCUCUCUCUGCACAGAGAAAAACUCCAUUGGAUAAUUCCAGAGAAAUAAAGGGUAGCAGCUACAGAGAGCAGAAUAUAGACGUGUAGAAGGGAAAGAGACAUCUAUCCUGGAUUCACAUACGAUUGGAAGAUAAAAGAGAAUCUAGAGUGUGGCGAGAAAUCCUGCAGUUAUGCCUUUAGUUUUCCUGAUUUUUGUUAUUCAAAAUUCUUUAAAUGUUGAUGAAUGAUUUAAUUUUGGUGUUUACUUUUCCACCCAUGAACUAAAUCUUUUCUGGGUUGGAGUUAUUUGGGUAGAUGUUUAUCAUCUUUAAUUUUCAUGAUUUGAGAUUGCUUGUAUCUUUUUUCAUUCGUUUAUGCAUAUUUUAAAUACAUGCAUGCAAGCUCUAGACAUAGUUGAUUGUAUGUUGUGUUCAUAGAUGUAUUUUUAAUUCUGAAAAGGUUAAAUAUACUGGAUCUAUAAUUUUUUUAUGCAAGCGAAUAUUCGACUAAAUAUUCGUAGCACUCUAGACAUAGAUGUUGCGAGUUGUGCAGAGAAGAACGUUCAUUGCAGUUAUUAAUCCAGAGUUCUAUAGACAUACAAUAACUUAGAUUUUAAGCUUUAAACCUAGCUAUUGAAAGAGGCAGGUUACAGUAGUAACUCUCUAAGCAAUCAAUUAGACAAUAUUUUGCCAUGACAUUAUUUUGAUAUGAGGAUUUCACCUGAAUAAUUCCAGCCAUAUUCAUUUAACAACAGAAUUACUCUUGCUUUUCUCUAUAAUUUGCCACAACAUUUUAUUUGCCAUAUCAAUUCUUUGCUUUUAACAUUAAAUUACAUUAAUUCAUUUUACCAAUAUCUUAUUCAAUUUAAGAGUAUUUCCUUCUAUUUAGUAUAGUUAAUAGGAUUAUAAUAACUUAAUCAAUCUUAUACCAAUUUUAGAUCCCUUUGGAUACGAUACUUACUUAUCACUUUAUUACUUGAAUGAUGUGUACACUUGCACAAUUGCAUUAGGUAUUUAUACGCAACAAGUUUUUGGUGCCAUUGCCGGGGAUCGACAACAUUGGUGAAAAGUUGAUUUGUUAUUAUUCUUGUAAUUUUUGUUAGAAUAGUUAAUUAGUAUUUUAUUUGAUUUUUCAGGUUUUGUACUAGUGCAUGAGAAGAAGUAUUCAAGAGGAUACAAAAUACUUUUUUGAUCCUAAGAUUGAAAGGAAAGUAAGGCGAAGGAGGUAAGCAUUAAGGGAAAUGAAGAGGAUUAUAAAUGAUCCAUUCAGAGAAUAUCAUGUACUCUAGAAUGAAAGGAAUGCUGAUAUUCCUCGAAUCUUAGAUGACAGAGAUAGACCCAUCAGAAAACAUGUAGUGCCUAAUUUGGGUGAUCUAAGUCCAGGAAUUGUUAGGCCACAUAUUCAAGCUCAACACUUUGAAUUAAAACCAGUAAUGUUUCAGAUGCUGCAGAUGGUAGGACAGUUUAGUAGUUUAACAACUAAAGAUCCCAGAUUGCACUUGAGACUUUUUCUUAAAGUCUGUAACUCAUUCAGGCAGUAGGCUAUUCCUGAAGAUGCCCUCAGAUUAAAAUUAUACCCUUAUUCAUUGCGAGAUCAUGCUAGAUCAUGGUUGAAUGCAUUACCAUCAAGUACGGUGGCGUCUUGGAAUGAACUGUGUCAUAUAUUUUUGCUUAGGUACAAUCCUCCCAACAUGAAUGUCAAGCUGAGGAAUGACAUUACAUCGUUCAGGAAAUCUGAAGAUGAGACAUAAUACGAAGCAUGGAAGCAUUUUAAGGAUUUAAUUAGAAAAUGCCCAAUGCAUGGUUCUCAACAUUGGACAAAAAUGGAAAUUUUCUACAAGGGAUUAAAUGCUCAUACAUGAAUUAUAGUGGAUGCAUUUGCUAAUGGGACGUUGCUUGACAAAUCCUACAAUGAAGCAUAUGAAAUUUUGGAAAGAAUAGCCAACAAUGAUUAUCAGUACUCCACUACAAUGAAGAGUUGGUACUGGUAGAAUAGCAAACAUUUGAGGAACGCCAACACUUAAACUAGGUAGUUUCUUCUCUUAUCUAUUAGGCGCACAUUAGGGACAAUGUGCCAAAUAAAGUGUAAGGUAACAUAGAAAUUUUCAUAAUUUUUCAAAAAAAUUCUAAUUUCUUAUGUUUUUAUUAGUUGUUUUCGUUAAUUUUUGUUUUGUAUGUUUGUUUGUGCGUGAGCUUAUAGCAUACAAGUGAUUGGAUAGAAACAUGUAAAUAGGAUUCUGUGUUUGAAUUGUAAAUAUAAGUCGAUGGCAAUCGACUUUAGGUUGUUUAAUAUUACACUAAUUAGUUCAUUCUGUUACACUGUGAAUAGGUGAUAGUGUGUUAGGUAUACCAAAUGACAAAUAGGUACAUAAAAAGCAUAUGUGUUUGUUUGAAUAAUAAGUGUUAGAGUGUUAAUAUUUAGUUAAUUGUAAUCCAUGAAUUGAUAAAAUUAGGGAUGACCUAAGGCAUUGUUUGGCAGAAAAAUUUUGAUCUAAAAUGCCGACCUUGAUUUAAAAUCCCUAAUACCCUAUUUUUUAGCCUAAAACUCUAUUUCUUGAUGAACUGCAAUGGAAGCCCUAAGCCUUAAAUAUAAUCUCUUGAUCCGAUUUUCAUCUUCCUUGCAUGAACUUAGACUUCAGGCCAUCGAUAUUAAGGGUUAGGUAGAGACGACAAGGUAGUUUUCAAAAUAAAAGGAAAAUAAAAGUGAACCCAAGGGAUAGUAUAGUAUGGUGAGUAUAAAAGUCUUGCAAACUUGUACGUAAAUAGAAAAAUAGAAAAAAAUUAUCAAAAGAAAAAGUUUGAAAAGGCUAAAAUAGCCAAGCGACAAGUUCUCGAGAAAAUAGGAAAGCAAAGUGAGUGAAAAAGAAAGAAAAGAAAAUUUCCUCAUUGUUUUGCACAAAUAGCUCGCUAAGACGAUUGUAUUCACUAAUAUUGUACUAUACCUUAGGAAUCAGAGAGAAAAGGUAGGUGAGAGAAGGGGAUAUAAAGUGGUGAACUAAAGGGGUUAAUCGGGAAAGUAUUGGGGUCAAUAUAAUUUUCCAAACUAUUUUCAUGCUUAAAUCGUUUUGUUGUGUCUGUCCUUUAAUUCCAAAUCAACCUAAGUUGUAGAACGUUACAAGCCAAAAAGACCUGGGUGACCUAGGUGAUACUAUUCGUGGAUGAAGAUUAGCCAAAUUUUGACAUUUCUAGUUACUUGUAUUCUUCGAGCAUGAAUGUAAAUUUUUUGUACCUAUUUCGAUGGAUCAAUGUGCUUACAUUCUUCAAUUUGUUUCCUUUGUAAUUUUAUGAACAAAUGUUUGUGAUAUUGAAGGUAAGGAGUAAAUUUAAUAUCGUGUUAGAGUUACGUAUUUAUUCACAAUGUUCUGUGUACAUAGCUCUAAACUAGUCUUUGUAUAUGACAUGCUCAAGCACUAUUUGGUUGUUUUAUUUUUCUUGUUUGUGUGUGUUUUUAUUUUGUUUCUUGAGGACAAAAAAUAACUUAAGUGUAGGGGAGUUUGAUCUGCCACAAUUCGUUGUGGCAAAUUAAUGUCUUUCUGGCACUUAACGAGUUUGUUUCUAGUAUUUUUAUAUGUUUUUGGUUUUUAUUGAUUUAUGUUUAAUAGAUGAAAAAUAAGCAUUUUUACGCAAUUUUGAGUUAUGUUAUGAUCUAAUGGGCCACUACAGGCCUAGGGAUGAUUUAAUGGCUCUAUUUAGUGUUUAGGACACUGUUUUCGGGCUUAAAAGACGAAAGAUGAGUGCAACGUCACGACACUAGUCCUGUGGUGUCGUGACACUGGGUAAAGAUUAGGAAAAUUAAGCAUGGGUAUUUUUGUCCACACAAUGAACUAUAAUCAGAUUUUUUGGUUGUUUGGCAACCCUAAUUAGGUUAGAUCAUAAACUUUCUAAAUAGGCAUGUUUAGCCUCAUUUUAAGAGGCCAGGCCAAGUGAGCCACUUAGUUAGUUUUAGGGUUUUAGUUUAGUUUUUAUUUUAUUUCAAUUUAGUCCUUUAGACAACUUAUGUUCUUGUUUAACUUUGAUUUGAUUCCGAUCCAAGCUUUUGGUUUAGAAAUUUUUCUUUAUUUCUUUGUGGAUUCCAAUUGCAAUUGGAGUGAUCUUUGUGACUGUUAAAGGAAAUUUCGCUUCCUAAAACGAAUUGAUAUCAAAACGGAUUUAUUUUCCUAUUCCCUUGUUUUAUUUAAUUUAUUGCUUUGUAUGUUUAAUAUGAGUUUGGGGAUUAUUGUUGUAACAGCCCGAUUUUGAUCCUAAUCGGAACGGUGGUUUCGGGACCACGAAUCUGAGUUAGAAAAAUAUUUUAAAAUUAUUUUCUGUGUUUAUUAUGUAUGAAUUUACUUGUGUGAAAAUUUUGUGCUUUAAUUUUGUCGUUUGAGUGUCCGAUUAAAUAAAAGGAUUAAAUCGCGUAAAAUAAAAAUUUAGUGGUUAUUUCUAAAAGGGCCGAAUAGUGGUUGUUCUUUAAAUAUGGGGGUUUUAUGUUGCACUUUGACCAUUGAAAAGAUAAUGGACAGCAUUGUGUUUAUAAUAUAUAGUUUUUAUAUUAUUUAUAAAGGUUAUAAUAAUAAUUUAUAUAUUACAAUGUUAUUAUAAUAAAAACAAAACAUAAGAAAGUGGUCAUUUUCAUUAUAUUUGUGCCGAAUGAAAAGAGAAAGAAAAUAAGAAAACCAAGCUAGGUAUUCGGCCCUUGUUCAAGAAAAUUAAUGUAUGUUUCGGUUUCGAUUUUUGAUGAUUUUUAUGUUUUUGAGAUCGUUGCUUCGAAUACUACCCGACCCAUGCUUCAAUUUUUUAUUUUGAUGAAUAUUUUGAGUUAUGCCAUUGAUGAAUAAUUGUGUUUUGUGAUAUUUGAUGAUGAAUUAUUGAAGAUAUGUUUUGGGUUAGUAUGUUUUGUAUUGGAAAUUUUGAUGAAUUUGAGUAAUUAGAGCUAAAUUGCAAAAAUAAUAAAUUGAGGGACUAAAAUGUAAAAUAAAUGAAUUUUGUGAGCUUGCAUGGGAAUAAUGAAUAUUCGGCCAAAGCUUGGUAUGUGUAAAUUUUGUAUGUUUUGUGUUUUAUGCAAAUUGGACUAAAUUGUAAAAAGUAUAAAAUAUCAGGGGUAAAAUAGUAAUUUUCUCCUUUAUGUGUUUUUGGGUUAGAUUGAAUGAAAUUGUGUUUAAAUGAGCUUAAUUUGAAAUUGUAUAGAUCAAGAACAAAAGAAAUCAGACUUGGAUCGGGGGGAAAAAUAGUAGUUGAAUAGUCGUUUUAUAUACCCGUCGAUAUCCGAGGUAAGUCUAUAAGCAUCUAUAUAUAUUGUUUAUUUUAAUUAAAUAUGAAUUUUAUACGCUGAAAGGAAAUAUGUGAAAUUAUACAUGUGUUAAUCAAAUGAAAAUAAGCUUGGAAGCUAUGUUUAUGAAUUCGUUUCGACCGAGUUACGACAUCCGAAAGGCUCGUACGAACCUUAGGAAUAGCUAGGAUACAUAUGUCAUGACAUAGGAUUUUUGAUAUGUGUUCUCGUGUAAGACCACGUCUGGGACGAUGGCAUCGAUAUAUGUGAUUACGUGUAAGACCAUGUCUAGGACAUUGGCAUCGUAUUUGAUUCGUGUAAGACCUUGUCUGGGACAGUGGCAUCGAUAUGAGAUAGCAUGUAAGACCACAUCUGGGACGUUGGCAUUGUUCGAUAUAUGUGAUUAUUCGAGUAUCCUAUUAAAUUCCGAAUGGUUUAGCGGGCAAUGAUAAGUUGUGAUUAAAGGUGUAAAACGAGCUAAAACGAUCAGGUAUGAGUUACUUGACUACCUAUUUAAAAAUACGGUAAGUUGGCCAAUUGGUAUGUGAUAUAAAUUAUAUAAGUUACUAAUGUGAACAUAUGUAUAUUGGUGAAGUAUAUUCGGCCAUGUGUUAUGUAUAUGCAUAUGAUGUUAUAUUUUGGUUCAAAAUUAUAUGUAUAUGUGUGUAAAUAUAUAUUCGGAUAUAUAAUGAUAUUAUGUCUCUGAAUUGAAUGACACUUCGAAUAUAUAUACAUGUACAUUCGGUUAAGAUAAGAUUUAUUUAAGAAAACACAUGUUUUAUAUGAAAUGUUAAGCUUGAGGUUAAAUGUGAUUAUGCUAGUAUAAUUUAAUUUGGUUAAAAAUGAGUUGAUAAUGUAGUUUAUAUUCGGUCAAAAUAGAUAUGUAAUAAUAAGGUUAAAAAUGAGAGUUGCACAUGUGAAUGACAUUAUAUAUAUAUUCGGCCAAAUGUUAAACUUAUGUGUAUUCGGUUAAAUAUGGAUUUGAUGUAUAGUAUGUGUUUGAUAAAUGUAUUUUUCGAUUAUGGAAAUGGAUAUGAAUAUUGAAAACAUUAUUUGAUUUUGUUGUAACUAAUUAAAUGUUGUUAAGUUAUUUAAUUGCUCAUGACUUGCUAAGCUGUAAUAGCUUACUCUGUGUGUGUUUUUUCCUAUACUUUUUUAGAGUUCCAAAGACUUGCUCGGGUUGGAAGUCAUUGGAGUCGUCAUCACACUAUUCGGUUAUCGUUUUGGUUAAUUAAGGCUUUGAGUUUUUGGUUAUGUGACAUGUAUAGGCUAGUUUUAAUUUAGUUGUUGUAUAUAUAUUUUUAGCCAUGCGAAAAUGGCUUGAUCUAAUGCAAAUGAUUCGAGGUUUAAGUAAUUUUGGUCAUAGUAAAGGGGUGGGGUAUGCUUAGUAUUUGAAUUUGGUAAGACGUAAUGAUAUAUAUAUGGUUUAUAAUUAUUUUAUUUUGGUAAGCAUGAUAUGGAUGAUGGAUGUGUUAUGGUUGUGGUUGUGGUUUAUUAAUGAUGCUAAUGAUAGUGAUUUUCGGUAUUGUAUUAGCUUAAUUUGUAAGUAUGAAUUAUGGUCUAAUUUGUGUGAUGAAAUGGUAUUGAGAUUUGGCUUGAUUAAAUAGGUAAAAUACGAUAUAUAUUGAAGAUGACAUAAUGGUUAUUUCGAUUUAUGUGAUGUAAAUAUAGGUGAUGGUCAUAAUCUAGUUUGUGAUUCGGCAUUGGUGAUCAAAUCAUGUAGUUAAGUAUUUAGUUAUAUGUUAAUUUUGAAUUUGGUUGUAUUCAUUAUGUAUGGACUAUGUUAUGCUAUGAAUAUUUGGUAAAUUGAAAUGAUUAAUUUGAGUAAAUUUAUAAUGGCAUGAGUACAUUGGUGAAAUGGAUUGAAAAUGGAAAUUUAUAUAUUAUUAUUUAUAUUUAAUUGAUGAAAUGUAAACAAAUAUAUAUGUCUUUGAUAAGUUAAUUUGAAUGAUCGAAUAUAUAUAUAAUAAAUUGAUUUAAGUGUGUAUAUGAAAUUUUGACAUGAUUUAUACUGUAUGGAAUUGGCACGUUUUGAAUUGGUUUUGCAUGUAUUUUAGGCUUAAUAAUUAGCAUGUGAAUUGGGUAUAAAUUGUUUGGUUAGUUUGCUAGCUGAAUAGAAGAUAAGAUGAAUGGCAAAGCAUACAAAUGUUUUGUACUUAAAUGGGAAGUUAGGCAUGUAUGUUUUAUUAGUUGAGUUUUAAAAAAAAUGGUGUAUAUUUUAUAAGGUUAAAUGCAUUUGUGGCUAAGAUGUUUAUAUGCUAAACUUGACUAUUUGGUGAAAGUGAUUGUGCUGCAUUUUCUAAUGGACAAUAAGCCGAGCAAUAUGGAUUGUUUGGUUUUAUGCACAUGAAUAGAAAUAUGAAUUAAUAUGUUUGAUAUUCAGCUUAAGAAGUAAAAAAAAAAUGCUUGGAUGUCUUAAUGUAUGCGUAUGAAAUUUGUAAUGUGAUGAGUCAUCUUAUAAUUUGAUUUUUGAAUGAUAUGAGUAAGAAGUAUAUAUGUUUUGAAUGGUAGGAUUUUAAAGCAUGUGUAAUAUGACUAUUUUGAGCCGUGUUUUUUUUUAUGGUAAUGCCUUGUAACCCUAUUUCGGCGACGGAUAUGGGUUAUAGGUGUUACAAUUGCAUCUAGAUCCAUGAAUAGCUAAUUUCCUUAGGGAGAUUAACGAACGAAUGUGUGAUUAAUUAACAAAUAAAUUAGGGUUUAAAUCUAAGUUUGUUGGUUUAAAUUAUGUGCGAUUAAACCCUAGAAAGUGAUUCUCUUAUGAAGUAAUUUAGGAUAAACAAGAUCGAGAGAUAAGUUUACCGAGAAAAUCAUAAUUUAUCCCGGUCAAGAAAGUGAAGCCAAGAGGUAAGUGUGUAUUGGUUGAUUAGUUAAUUAGUUAGAUCCCAAGAGGUAAUAACUGGUUAAUUAAUAGCUAACUUAAUAAAACCUGAGUUCUAAAUUUAAUUAGGAACACUGAAGUGAGUUAAUCUCCUACCUCUUUUUUAGAUUUUAUUUUGAUUGUUAAUUGGUCAUUUUUCUUUUAGAUACUUUUAUAUUACUUUAAUUAAUUUAUUUUAAUUUAGUUUUUCAUAAUAUAAUUUUAAAUUAAUACUACUAGUGUAGAAAAUGAAGUUACAUUUAAUUCAACCUUCCUUGGGUACGAUCCUCGGAAUGAUUCCCGGAGUGUUUCAUUGUAACAUUCUUUACUAUAUUACAAUUUGACAUGUACGCUUGCAAACACUAUUGUUUAAUUAUAUGUUUAUUUAUUGCAAUAUUUCCAACCUAGAUUUCUGCACAUCUGGUGAUGGUCAAUGUCGCAACACAACCCUGAAUGAAAACCAAAAGAGCAAACUGUCGUCAGUGUCGUGUGAGGGUAUUGCAACACAGUUGUGACAAGGCCACUUAAAGGGGAAAGGGUGUUUUCAUCUGUACAACUCAACUUAAUGAUGUUUAGUCAGUCGUAUUAGGUCAAAAUGAGGCAGCUAGCCUUGAUCCUAUAAAUACCAUUACUCAUAACUGUUUAAGGGACUUUUUUUCCUUCCAUUUUUUACUUCUAUUCUUAGUUUUUAGGGUCUUAGUUUUAUUUUUUUAUUUUUGUUCUUGUUUUGUUCAUUCAAUUGAUUCAAAUUGUGGAUCACUUAGAUUCUGUCAAGGAUUGCACUUCAAGUCACCAAUACGAUCUUCAGAAUCUUUUUAUUUCUCUUUACUUGUUUUGCAAUAUUUAUAUGUUUCAAUUAAAAACUAUGAUGAUGUUUGAUAGAUCUAUGUGUAACUAAAAUCCUGAGGAGAUUAACAAGCAGAUGUGGUAAUAGUUAACAAUUAUUUAAGGAUUUCUUAGUGGAUCAAUUGGUUUGGGAAAAGAGAACAUAAACCCUAGGAUUGAUGACCCUAAGAAGUUAUCUAAGUAGAGAGGAAUCUAAGAGGAGAAGUCUACUGGGCACCCCUUAACCUAACCCGGUCUAACCUGUGACAUCGAGAGAUAAGUAGUGUUUGCCGACUCAUUAGAUUAGUAAAAGGCCGAGAGGCCCUGCUAGAUUAAUGACUAGCUGAUUGAAUAGAACCUGAAAUAGAAAUUAACUAUGAAUACUGAAGCGAGUAAGUGUUCUGCCUUUAGAAUCUGAUAAAUCCAUAAUUUGUUCCUCUCGAUAUUAUAUAUCUUUGCAUUGUUCUUAUUUUCACUUCUUUUAUGAAUAAUAAUAUAAUUAGGAUUAAGUACUAUUUAGACCUAUUAGCAUAGAAGUUAGUGUUAAUUUAAUCAAACCUCCUUUGGGUACGAUCCUCAAAAUACUUCUAUGUUCCGUUGUAACUUCUAUAUUACGACCUGCCCCGUAUACUUGCAAACAUUGCCUUAGUUCUUGUUUGUAGUUGCAGUAUUCUCACUUUCGAUGUUAGUACAUCGGGAGGCGGUCAAUUAUAUAACUGAAUCGACCCUUAGGGCUCAUAAUAACCAAUUCAUAUGCCACCAUUUAUUGCUUAAACAACAAGUUACAAUUGUAUAAUUUCAAUAUCUAAUGUCGAUAAGUGAAUUACAUGUUUUCAUAAUCCCUAUUAACCGAACAUGGAAUCAAGACGGAUAUAUGAUCAUUCAAUCAUCACACUUGUAGCAGGCCCAAUUAGCCCGGGCCUGUACUAAAUAAACCAAACCUAAAAAUAUAGUAGUCCAUUAACAAUUCAAUAGUCCAAAAUUAGAACCCAAAUUGAACCCAAUCAAGCCCUAAGUCCUAGCCCAAAUCAAAUUUAACCCUAUCCCAACAAAAGUCAGUAAACAAAAAACCUUAGGUGCGCCGCACCUAGGUCUUCUGGCCUUGCUGUUGCCGCCGUUCGUCGCACGUUCCAUCCGCACAUCGCACGCCACCACCACCAUAGCCUCCUCCAUGCGCGUCAGACCACCUGCAAGAGAAAACCACACGCAACAACAGAAACAAAAACAAUAAACAAAUAGAAAAACGAAAAAAAAUAAUGAUUAAGGAGUUUGUAAUCCGGCUAUAAAAGCCCUAAUCUAUGACUUGUAUUUUUUUUACGAACAUUAAUAUAAACAACAAAAUCAAAACAGAUUUAAAAAGGUGACUUUUUUUUCCUUGUUGGUUUGAUUCUCUUUUUCUAUCUUUUUUUUUACGUAUUAAGUAUUAAAGAACAAAAAGGGGGAAAAAGGAACUCACCGGAGAUGGUCGUGGCUGCACCGUCGGAGGGUCUCUCCUCCGUCACUCGAUUCGGGUCAAAAAGGGUCGAUGGUCUCCCCUUUGUUUAUUUCUCACGGGUUAAGAGAGCUUGGCUCUCAAAGAUGCCGCAACGAGGGCUAAAAGGCCUUCCUUUCCCGACGCCGACUGCCGACCACGAGGCAGCGCGACAAAAGCCGAAGAAGGCCAUCGGCCGAAUGUGAGGAGGAGGGGUUGAGAGAGUUUGAGAGACCCUCAGUUUUUUUUUUUUGAAAAUAAAGGGUGAAAUGUUUUUUUGUGUUUUUCUUGCUAUUUAUAUGGGGUCAAUACGGCGCCGUUUUGGACCUUAGCAUCAGUGGCCAAAAUGACGCCGUUUUACUUAGGACCCGAAUACCCGACCCGCCUUGAUAAGAUCCGCGUGUUUUCUAAUUUGAGGGGUUAUUUGCGCACGCGGUCCCUCCGUUAUUACAACAUAGCGCAAUCUGAUCCUUUGUUAGUUUUUUUUAUUUUGGCCACGAAAUUUUAUUUCUGUUUCAAUCUGGUCCUUAGGCCAUGUGCAGUCCCUUGGUUAAACGCCGCGUUUUAGGAUUGGGAAAUAUUUCCCUGAAAGUCCCUCGCGCUGUAGAAGCGUUUCAUUUCAAUUCCUUGGCAAUCUUGUUUUUAUUUAUUUGCGAAUUAAACCCUUGAUUUUGGGCCCGAUUUUAAUUUCAUCCUUAUUCCAUUUAAUUAAUUUACUAUUCAUUUUUUAAAAAAAUAAUUAAUUUAUUAUUUUAAAAAAAUGGGGGGCUCUUCUUUUAUUAUUUAUUUUAAGUUUUACAUAUAUUAAUAUUUUAUGCCUUACCUAAUAUUUACUUAAGUUUUUAUUUACAUUAUUUGUUUUAAAUUACCAUAAAUAUAUACAUCGUCUUUUAAAUUUUUAUACAUAUAUUUUUAAUAAAGAAAGAGUAUUGUUUGUUUUGUAUUUUUAACUUUCUUAGUUUUCUCUUUCAUUUUAAGUUUUAUAUAUUGUUUGUUUGAGAUAUUUUACCAUUCAUUCCAAACUAAUCUUAUAAAUCACUUGUUUUAUACUAUUAGUUAUAUAAAAUUGUUCUCUAUUAUUUCGUUUCGUACUUGGAUUGUUAAUAUUGGCAUGUUAAAUUGUUGCAUGUGGUGUGAUUAUUAUCAUUAUGUACGUUGUAAUUAGUUUAUCUGUUUUCGCAUUAUUGCCAUUCAUUAACAUGAUACUUUAUUCGUAAAUUGUCAUAUCAUGUUCUAUAUUAUCGUUUCAUUUCAUUUCAUCACUUCAAAAGUUAUGUUUGAUUUGUACAUACCCAUAAUAAACCGUUUUAUUUUAUCACAAAGAAAAUAAAUGCAACAUCGCUCAAGUAUUGUAUUCGCAUUAUUCAAAAAAGGGAAAAGUUUUAAAAUAAGGCAAUGUUUCGUGUUUUGGGAGAUUUAAGAAAUUGUACUCUAACUUACGCGAUUUCAAUUUUCUCGUUAAACCUAAAUAGCAAAAUAUCCUUUUAAAUUCCAAAAUAUACGAAAUUUCAAUAAAAAAUCAAAAGCAAGCUUGUUCUCUAAGGUUCCCAAAUAUCAUGUCCUAACUUACGGGACGUGACAUUUCAUUACCUCGAGACAAGUAGGUCUUUAACUUCCUUUUCGAUUUAUUCAAGCGUUUUUAAUAACAUUAAUAAAAAAGGGAUCGUAUCUUAAAUUUCCUUUCAAAUUUUUAACUUUCAGCAUUAAGACAUUAAGUAAUUAACUAGGUAUCAAUUUUGGGCGCGUCAAGAGUGCUAACCCUUCCUAGUGUUUAACUGACUCCUGAACCCGUUUUCUAGAUUUUGUAGACCAAAAAUGAUCGUUUUAGUAAAUUUAAAAUUUUAUUAAAAUGGUUACAUCACGAGCUGAUCCGAUCACACCUAAAUAAAAAAAGAUUGGUGGCGACUCCCAUGUUCGUUUCUGUUUUCAAAAUUAAAGUCGACUCCUUUUACAAAAAAAAUAAAAAAAUGGUUUCGACAACACCAAUAUAUCCAACACCUAGUGCCUCAUCAAAUCUGAAGUAUAAUAUGCGUUCUGUACCUCGUCUGUAUAAGACGAAGUAUAUAAAUAUGUCUAGCACUUUACUAGAACAUCUGACGUAUAAUAUGCACACCGCGCCUCAUCGGUAUAAACCAAAAUAUAAUCUCGUAUACUAAUCUUAUGACAUGUCAACUAUACUCGACUCUACUCGAGAUGUUAAUAGGGUAUCCAAUAUUUUUAUUAGUGUAUAAGGUUCACAUAACAUAGUUUAAUACAUAUAAAUUCAUAUCAUACUCAAAUCAAUUCAUACAAUUCCAUAUCAUCAUUUGCAUAUCAUCACAUUUUUCACAAUUUAUCAACUAUUUCAUACUUACCUAUUCAUGAGACAAGUAAGUUCAUACCUUAUUUAGGCUAAUUGCAACAAUCCAUAUAUGAUAUUUUAAAUUUAAAUCAUGAAAGCACAAACCGAGAUAGCUACUCGCCUACGACCCUCGCAUUUCCUUUAUCUCGAGACAACCUGGUGUCGUCUUUAGCUAUGUACGAUAAUUCAAUUAUAAAAAUAGUAUUUGUUUUCACCCAAUCACAUGAAAAAUACAUAAUUGAACAUAGUUUUCAUUUUAUUCAUUUUAGUCCUUAUAUCUUAUAUGCUCAUAUUUUUCAAUAUUUAACAUUGGAUCAAAAUCAAAUUUCAUAUUCUUUCAUUAGGGACCUUUUACUUUUAAUCAAUAGCAUAAUUUCUUAACAACUUUCAAUUUAUUCAAUUUAGUCUCUAAUAUCAAAGUUAACUAAACCUUUAAUUCUAAGCUAAUUUCACUACCUUUUAAUACAAUCUUAACCAAAUCUAAGCUUAACAAUCACAUAUUCAUCAUUUUAAAGCUUGAAUUUAACAAAACUCUUUCAUGGUAACAUAAUACAUAUUGAUAAUUUCAUAAUCUACUAAAUGGGUUUUCUAGCUUAAGUUCUAAGGACAAAAAAUAUAUAAAAUUCUUUAAGAAAACAUCAAUUUUAGACCAAAAUGUAAAAGAAGCAAAAGGAAAUUUUCUUCCUUCUUGAAGCUAGGGACGGCUCAAUUGAGAAGAAAAUAUGAAUCUUUUUCAUCUCUCCAGCCAACUUUUUUAACACCCCAUACCUGAUCCAGUCGCUGGACAUGAGUUACAAGAUGUCACAAUAGUAAACCGAAACAUUUAUAUGCAAUAUGUAUCAACAACAUUCAAUAAAUGAAAAUGUACAAGUUAAGUUCAUAUUAAACAUGCAUUACAAUCAAAAUUAAGCUCAAUCAAUCUUACAAAAGCUUUUAAACAAGUUCGAACUAAAUCGAGACCAAUCUGAAACAUUUACAAAAUAAUAGAUAAAAAGUUAAAACAGGGGUCACGCGGCCGUGUGUUCAAGCUGUGUGACAAGGUUGAGGUCGUGUGGGGCUAUCACACAAUCGUGUCUCCAAACUGUGCAACAAUUUGAUGUUGUGUAAUCUAAGGUGACACGGCUGUGUCACCAGGCCGUGUAGCAGACUGUGAUCUGUGAACUAAAAACCACCCUGACUGUGUUGAACACAUGACCGUGUCAUCCAAUCAUGUGAGACACACGACCAUGUGGUUGCCCGUGUGCAACAAAAAUAACCUAUUUGGGCAAGUUUUCAUACCACUCCUUCAAGUGACCUAUAAUGUCAUUUCGUUCUAUUCAAACCAACACCAAAGCAUGCAUUUCCAAGUCAAAACACCAAUUGACCUAACCAUUUUAACAUACAACCAAUAUGCCCUCAUUAGAACCAACAAUUAAAUAAACUCAAUUCGUGUUUCAAACAUUUCAUAUCACAACUCAAUCAGACCAAACACAAGCAUAUACUUAACAUGACCAAAGUCUAAAGCCAUUUCAUACCACCAUCAUAAACAUAUGUAUAAUGCCAUUCAAACUACCAGACUUGACAUAUACCAAAAAUCCAAUAACCAACCACAAACAUAGGUUUAUAUAUAUAAGGUUAUUACUCCAAAUUUCACAUUAUCUUACACAAGAUAAUCCAACCUAAGUACAUGCCACAAGUAACCAAAAUGAAAUAUCAAAAGUCUAUUGAAUCGAGAGAUGGUAGGUGUGAGCUUCUCGCUGAUCUGAUCGACACGUUCCGGACGUCCAAAAAUCUACAGAAAAGUAGUAAUACUAGUAAGUAUUUAAAAUACUUACGAAGCUCAUACAAUAUAAACAUUUACUAACCUUAAUCACUUAACAUAAUAUACAAUUCAUUAUGCAAUUCAAAUAUAUCUAUCAAGAUUCAAACAACAACGUCAAUUUAUAAGAUUUUGAUCAACCACGUAUAUAACCUCAAAUGUUCUCAAUUUUAUUUCAAUUUAACUUAUCACUUGUAUGCAAUUCGUAUGCAUAACUUAGUCAACAUUCAAUGGCACAAAAUAUCUUUUUAUUCACAAUAAUACCCGAUGAAACUUCGUAAAAGAAAUUUGUACACAGGUGAAAGUAAUAGUGCCCGGUUACCCGUUUGGGUUAAACCUACACGAAUAAUGAAUCAUAGUGUCAGGUCACCUGUAAGGGUUGAACCUAUACAAAUCGAAUAAUAGUGCCUGGUCACCCAUUAAGGUUGAACCUACACAACAAAUUGUCUGGCUAGGGCUUAAUUAACCUAUAUUCUUGAGUCCGCAACACAUGCUAGAGCUCAGAACCUAUAGACAGUAACCCGUAACCUCAUAUACGAGACUUUUACUAAUUUCAUCAGGAUUAAUCUCAUGUUAUAACACAAUUCCAAUCAACAACAAUAGUUAUCACUAAAACAAGUAUAACACAUUAGUAUUAGAAAUUUAAAUUAUAUCUUAUGAACUUACCUAACAAAGCGAUAAUGCUUUAGAUAAUAGAUACUAUUCGGUAGUUUUUUUCUUUUUCACCUAAGUCAACAACUUGAUCAAUGUAAUAGUUAAAAUUCAAAAUACCAAUACCAAUCUCAUGAUAACACCAAAAUUCAUAUUUAUAAUCUUUUAAUUUAGUUUUACAUAAUUUCCCUAAACUUUUAUAUUUUAUUCAAUUUAGUCCCUAAAACCGGAACAAGUAUAACUUUCACAAUUGAGCUUCAUCUUUUUCAUUCUAAUUUCAAUUAUGUCUUUCUACAGCCCUAAAAAUCCAAAUUUAAAGGAAUUAAGUGUCACUUUUAACAUAUUCACAAUUUAGUCCCUAAAUGCAAAAUUAACAAAAAUUACUUUAUCAAGUAAUCCUUAAACAUUUUGUAGCUUCCAAAUCUACCAUUUUCUAUAAAAAAAAAGAACAUCUAAAAUUCAUCAAUGGCAAGUUUUAAAAUCUUUAACAGUUUUAAAAACAGAAAUACGAGUUACCUAGACCUAGUUGCAACGAUAUCAAAAAUAUAAAAUUUAUGAAAAGCGAACUACAAUAACAUACCAUGCAAAUCUUGGCUGAAGCUUAAGUUUUCUCUUCCAUGGAUAAUCGGUGGUGAAAGGAAGAUGAUAAUGUCUUUACCCUCUUUUUUUGUUU